AUGUGUUUGCAGUUUGUAGAUCAGAUAAUAACUUUUCCAAAAGGAAUCGUGAAGAACCUUUGCGUCCGAGUUGGUACCUUGUAUGCCCCAGCAGACUUCGUAGUGGUAGAGACCGGAAAUGAUGAGAGAGCACCUAUCAUCCUAGGGAGGCCAUUCUUAAACACCACGGGAGCAAUCAUCUACGCUAGUGCUGCCAAGAUCAGUUUCUACGUCAAAGGGAAGAAGGAGACAUUUUUCUUCAAGAACAAGACUACACAAAUUCCAGAUCAAUCCAGACGUGAGUCAAGGAAGAGGACCAACAGGAGGAACAGGAACAAGCAAGUGUGGACCGAGUCAGCUAAGAUGGUCACUGUAGUUCAUGGAGGCCAAGAUCACCAACUUAAGUCACCGCUUUUGACCAAGAAGGACGACCCAGGAAUGCCAAGCAUUUACUGCUCAAUAAAUAGAUACAACUUCUACAAGACGACUUGUGACACCGGAUCGGGCGUCAACAUAAUGGCCGCAGUCUGUUCGGAACCAUGCCCCUAAGACCAACAUACAUUCAGCUCCAGAUGGCAGAUCAGACAUUUCGAGAAGUUAAAGGAAUAGUAUCCGAUGUCCCAAUCAAAAUCGACGAUCACUUUGUCUACACAGACUUUCAAGUUAUUCACAUGGGAGAAGACGAAUACGAUCCACCCAUCAUCCUUGGAAGACCGUUCCUCAGCACCGUUAAAGCAAUUAUCUACAUUGGAACUGGAGAAGUCCAUAUGCACUUCCCCUCAGAGAAUGUAUGUCGUUAUUUUACUGACCCUAACUAUAUCGUUGAAGAAUCUAAGCAGGUAAGAAAACGACGCAACCGUAACCAGAGGAGGCAGAUCAUCAGGGACGGAUGGGCAGACUAUGAAGGAGAAGUUGUAAGGUCAGAAGACGUAGAGUUUAAACAGAAUUAUCCAGAGGAGAUCGAAGCACCAAGUCAGGUGUGGAAAAUGAAGAUAACUAUACAUGAAGAGGAGGCGCCGCCGGAAGUACCGACUACGCCACCCAACGAACCUCAGGACAAUUAAGAAAAUAGAGAGUCCCGUUCGGAGGACUUAAAAACACUGAACGCCUUGCCAAGAGGUAAACUUGGUAGUUAUCCUUUCCGUUUCAAUUAUUUUAAAUAGUUUACUUAGUUAAUCAUAUUCAUACUAUCCUAAAAAGAAAAUAAAAAUGUGAAAAACAGUAAGCCCCAUGUGAGUAGACGAGUGACAUAAAACCCAUAAGUACAUUCACUGUGGUGGCAUAAAAAUAAAAUAAAUAUUUCUUUUCUGCUUUAUAAAAUAAAAAUAUAAAAACAGGGAGUAAUAUUUAUUAAGGAGUCUCAACAUGAUAAAGGCUAGAUAUUUAUGCUAACACUUAAUCAGUUCCACAAGCUUUGUUGUCUAUUUGAGCUCCACAGAAUUUAAGAAUCAAGAAGACUGGCAGACGGAGGACAUUCUAAUCGCUGUCAGAAUGCUGCUGACUUUCAAAUACACCUCUGCCACCUGCUAGCUACAUCAAGAGAAAUUACGUCAAAAUUCAGCUUGGAGGAGAGCACCCCCAUUUAUCUCGAUAAGUAUUUCUAUCUAUCUUUAUACUUAUAUUAUUUUAGAAUAUAAAUAUACAUAACUAUGAAAAACUAAAUAAAGAUUUUAUGCUUAUAUAUAUAUAUAUAUAUGUCUUUUGCUUAGUGUGUUUAAUAAAUAAAUAAAGUGGCUAUGCUAAUCUGUAACUAAAUAAAACUUAAGCAUGGAUAUGAUGAAUAGUUGCUCUGCCUAAUUUGAACAUUUUAAGUUCUCUCUCAAGUUUAGACAUAACUGUUAUAAUUUAAAGCUUGCUCUAAACCUAAACUUUUGUGAUGAAAACUUGAUCUGAAGUCUAAGUUGUUAACGGAUACGAUAUGGGAAGGUUGAGCUGCUGUUUAUCUGUUUCUAGAGAUGCUAGAAUUCUAGAGAAUUUUAUCUUUGAAAAUCUUUAAAAUGUUGCAUGAUGAGUUCCUGUAUGAUGAGAGUUUUAAAUUCCUACCACAGCCAUAUAUACAUGCUUGCUAGACUUUGAGCCACACAUUUACUAUUUACUGCUUAUGAGCAUUGAGUGUGGUCAAGCUGUGUAGACCCUUAGGAGCUUGUCAUGUGGUUAAAUCAAGAUUCACUUGCACGUUCACUCACAUAUGCUGCUUCUACUCCGGAAGUACCAUUUACAUAUAUCCACCCAUUCCAUCUCCAGAAUCACUUAAAAAUAUUCUACUCCUAAUCCGGGAGAGAAUAAACAAAAAUAUUCCUGUUUUUUCCUUGUGAAAUAAAUGCUCCAGUUAUCUUGUUACUACCACUUGCUAUAUUAUCUCAAGAGAUGAGUGCUCUAAAAAAAUACGAGGAAAUAAAAAGGAGCAAGUGCUCGGAACCUCGAAAGAAAAGAAAAAGUAAAAUGAGAGGUAAAAAUGGACAAGUGUCCGACAGUAGAAUUAGGGGUACAAGAUACCCACCUGAGAGAAAAGAAAAAAAGAAGAGCAUCUCAUUCUCCUCACUAUUCAAAAAGCAAGGAAGGUAUGUAUCCCCUCAAAGAGCAAAAGUAGAAUUAGACUUCCACCACCAUUGUUUCCAUCCGUGUUAUCACCAUCAUCACCAUACACCAUUCAUUAGCCACACAUGCACAUCUUGAUUUGGCUUAUUGAUUUGUUUCUUUGGAUCCAUGGUUUGACUAUGCAAUAAAUGUCUUGUAAGUAUGUAUAUUUUAUCUCCCACCUAUGAGCUCCAGAUAUUAAAGCCUUAUUAGAGUAGGGUGAGAGAGAAGACAAUGUCACUAUGCUUUAUACCACAAAUACCAAAUAUCUUGAGAGAAGGCAUAUACCAUCGCUGCCUUGGUAAGGAUCCAGAAAUACCACAAAAGAGAGAUAUGAGAGAGUCAUACAAGGAAUCUCUGAGUUUUAUUUAAAAAUCUACAAAAACACCAGAGCUAUAGCUGAUCAAAGAUAAGAGACAUGGCACUUGACUAGACUGUUCUAUCUUUUAACUACUCAAUAUAGAAGUGACGGUUACAAGUCCCAUGGUGAAGGUAAAGUAAGUAAGUUUUAAGUCUUGACAGUUUACUCUAACUCAGAGAUAAGAUCUUAUUUAAAAAGCAUGUGUACCGACAAUUUUUAAGAUAUUGCAACAACUUAUGAUCCAUAGCUGAGUCUAUCCUUGCUCAGGGACGAGCAAGAGGUAAGCUUGGGGGAGUUUGUUGAUGGUCCUUAAGUAUCAAAUUUAAUUAUCAAAUAAACAAAGAAAAGGAUCCAAAUGAAAUCAACAUCUAGACUUAGGGUUUUAUCUGACAGAAUUCCACGAGUUUUGGUGUUUGUCUAUUUCUGCAGGGGGUUAUCAGGAAAUACGGAAGAAAGGCCCACACGUCGGGAUUACAUAGAGAUAUUAACGUGCCGCGCAAUUAUCUUACAUCUAGAAGACUCCAGAAGCCACGAAACCGAAGCGGAGGCGAAACGGGGUAAAAAUAUAAAUAAUGAUACCUGGAAUACUUCCCGGUUAAAAUGCUGCAUCGGUAUUAAUCUGUGCGCUUGCAGAUCCCAUUCAUUAUUUAUUUAGAAGAGCAAUUGCAUAUUUCAAUACCGCGUCUCUUAUAUCAUGCUGGGGAUGACAACUUGGCUUAAGUGGUGUAAGGGAUAGGUUUGGCAUUUUUGGCACCGUUACUAGAUUUAGAGAACUUAGUCUACUUCUGGUAAUGAUGUUAAGAAUACCCAACAUGUACCUGCUCAUAGAGACAGGGCAGAGAUCAAGUGCAUGGGCCCUGUUGGUGGAAAACACCAACAGAACCACAAGUGUAUUUGUUCUUCUCUAACCUUAAGCAUAGUGAGCAAGACAAAGUUGAUGGAUAAUAAGAUCAUGAGUGUAGCAUUUAAAACAUUUGUCAGAUCAGAUCACUCAACCUUAUGGAAAGAUAAUCUAUCUAAGUAAAUGUUUUUUUUCUUUACAUGACUAUCAUUUUCUAAAGAUUGAGUGUGCAACACUUUAGUUCAUAUGAUUAGGAGUGUGGGAUCACAAAGGUGGAAGGACUAAACAUAUUGAAUUGACUGGGUUGGUUAAUCUAGAGUUCUAAAUCAUACAUGUUUGUCUCUUUUACUCAUGUGAACGCCAGAACCAAGGAGAAGCUUAUAAAAAUGAUAGUCAAGUACCUUAAGAUGUUACCUUAUUUGAAGAGUGAUGGUACAGUAUCACCUUGUGGAAGCUUUCCUUUCUUAGCGGUUGUGAAUCGUGUUUGUGGCACCCUCCAUGGAUCAUCUCUUGUGAGCUAUGCCUUCCUUGUGUAAAUUGUUAACCUUUAUGUGUCUCUCUCUUUGUCUCCAAUGUGAGUUUAUCUCAGGACUUCCCAGGUCGAUAUUGAAGGUUUUCUUGGAGGGGUUAGUCCAACAAAAUAUCCAAUAUCUACUAUAUCAUACUAUCGGCUCAAAGAUCAACCUAGACACCAUGUCUAAUUUGAUUUAGGAGGGCAUUUUAACCUAAGCAUCAUGCUUAAUUUAAAAUCCUUUGGAAAUAAGAUCAUCAUUCCUAAACUAAUCACCAUGCUUAAUUAAGAGAUAAAUGAAACUACUCCAAACCUAGACAUAUACUAAAGCAAAUAAAGGUAGCAUGGGAGCAUUUAUAGAGAUCUACUCAAGUGGAGAUGAAGUAGUGUGAUUAGUAUUUAACAAAUUGAGCAUGUUUCAUAGGUAGGGACACCCAACACAGCAACAUGGCAAAGGAUGAUUUUAUUUAAAGUACUCCCCCAAGCUUGAAUUUUGCAAAAUUCAAGUUUGGAUGAAUUUAAUUCAAUGUUGUAUGAUGAUUGGUUGGACAUACCUUGUGCUUGUCAUUCAUCUGAUCUUAUUGCUCCAAUCCCGGAAAGGUUAGUGACAAGAAUACCCGAAGGAAUAAUUUUACAAUUAUCCUUAUAUGCUCAAUAGACAAGGUAAUGUUGUAAAUAAUUAAAAGCUCAUGUUAUGAUCUGAUCAGUGCUUAUUUUAGGACACUAAGCUUGUCCUUGGGAAACCAUCAAUUUAUGUCAGUGAAGUGGUUUCCCCUCCAACGCUGACUUAUAUCAAGAUCAACUCAACGAGAUCUGCAAAAUUUAUUAUAGACAUAUGCAUCGACAACCGCCCUUUUAAAGUUUUUAUAAAUAGAAAGGAAGAUGGGGUUGGAGAUCUCAAAUGUGGUGAUGUUGGAGAGACCAAUGGAUUGUGAAGAUGUUGCAUAUGAGCAUGGAGCAAAUGAAGUGGCUAUGAAAUAAAUACCAUGCUCAUUAAUGCUUGGAGUGAAAUCCAUGUGGUAUGGUGAAAAUGGUAAGGUGAGUGUGGUAAAAAAGGAAAAGAAAAAGGAUACACGGACGACUUGGUUCGAAACCAGUACAGCUAUCGUUCCCCGGCAACGGCGCCAGAAAGCUUGUUGGGUAUUUUAAACGCAAAUAGAAAAAUCCGCAACUGCACAGAUACCGAUGUAGCUUUCACCCGGGAGUAUUCCAGAGUAUUGAUUUUCCACAGAGAACGUGAGUGUACUAAUUAAGAUCCAAGAUCGCCCAAGGAUAACUAUAUAAUUAUUUUUGGUGGGAAGAGAGGAAGUUUCCUGAGAGUUCUCUAGUUGAUCUAAGAAUCAAGAAUUACUUCAAGAUUAUCUAUAUCGGGACAUCAGAGCACUAACCAUAGAAAGAGAUGAGAAGAGGGCUAGGAAGGUCUGACUACGGUCCUACAAACACCGAUCCGAACGAGGUGGAAUACGUCGACCGUUAGGGCUGUCACUACCCUAAGGCUACCAUAACAAUCCGCAGGAUUGGGUGCAAUUCUAGGUAAUUGCAAGACUAAACACCACGUCUAAUCUAUUAAUUACUACUCUAGCGUUAUAAAGACUAGAGCACUUGAUGCAAGCAGGAAUCCAAUAAAUAACUUGAAUGUAAAUAAAAAAGUAAUUAAAGAACUCAGGAUUAUGAAUUGAAGAAUCUGGAGAACGAUGAAGAACGAACCAGUUGCUGCAAAAGUACAAUGUUGAGGAAGAUCCGACAGAUCCGGCUCCUCCUCCUCCGCUCUCCUCUUCUCUCUCCCUAUUUUCUAGAUUACAACUAGAACUAACUAGAACUAGAACUAGAGGAACUAGAACUAGAACUAGAUGAACUAGAACAAGAUCUAGAUGAACUAGAGGUAGAGCUAGAAGAACUAGAGGGAUCCUCUCUACUUGGAUGAAGAAUUAAAACCCUAACUUUGAUUCUAUAGAAGAGGUAUGAUCUCCAGGGGCUAGGGGGUCUGGUUUUAUAGUCCCUUCAAAUGAAUCUGGGCCGUUGAAUCAAACCGACAUUGAUUGAACGGUUAUCCUUGAUCCUUUAGGUCGGUGGAGCAUGAUCCGUGAGUUUGGACGUGAUUGGGCAGAACUCCAGGGCGGGCGCCCUCCGGACUUGGGCGGGCGCCCUGUCCCUGAGCCCUCUCGGCCUCUGCUUCGGUACCAUGGCUUAUGGAGUCUUCUAGAUGAUAGAAAAUUGCGCGGCACAUUAAUAUCUCUAUGUAAACCCGACGUGUGGGCCUUUCCUCCAUAUUUCCUGAUAACCCCCUGCAGAAACAGACAAACACCAAAACUCAUGGAAUUCUCUCAGAUAAAACCCUAAGUCUAGGUGUUGGUUGCAUUUGGAUCCUUUUCUAUGAUUUAUUGAUGGUUAAAUGUGAGCAUUAAGGACCGUCAACAUCCGGCUCCUCCUCCUCCGCUCUCCUCUUCUCUCUCCCUAUUUUCUAGAUUACAACUAGAACUAACUAGAACUAGAACUAGAGGAACUAGAACUAGAACUUGAUGAACUAGAGGGAUCCUCUAUACUUGCAUGAAGAAUUGAAACCCUAGCUUUGAUUCUAUAGAAGAGGUAUGAUCUCCAGGGGCCAGGGGGCCUUGCUUAUAUAGUAUUUUCAGAUGAAUCUGGGCCGUCGGAUCAAACUGACAUUAAUCGCACGGUGUUCCUUGAUCCCUUAGGUCGGUGGAGCACGAUCCACAAAGUUGAUCGUGAUUGGUGGAAAAAGGUGGGCGGGCGCCCUAAGGAGUAGGGCGGGUGCCCUGUCCCUGAGCCCUCUCGGCUUCCCGUUCGUUUCCGUGGCUUCUGGAGUCUUCUAGAUGAUAGAAAAUUGUGCGGCACGUUAAUAUCUCUAUGUAAACCCGACGUGUGGGCCUUUUCUCCAUAUUUCCUGAUAACCCCCUGGAGAAAUAGACAAACACCAAAAUUCGUGGAAUUCUAUCAGAUAAAACCCUAAGUCCGGGUGUUAGCUGCAUUUGGAUCCUUUUCCAUGAUUAGUUGACGGUUAAAUGUGAGCAUUAAGGACCGUCAAUAUAGAUCAUAUGUGGGUGUGGUGCUUAGAUAUUAUUUACCUGCAAAUGUAUCCUAUUGGUCGGGUCGUGUGGUAGUUCGCGAUGGUGACAGCUUCGUUGAUUCUUAUAUAGUCCACCCUCCGUUGAUAGGACAGGCAGAAUUUGUAUUGCAGAGUAAGUCUUGCGAUGUUCUGAUUUACUUUAGCAAUGUUCCUUAUACAUGAAUGAAGAGUCUAUUGUGCUAUAUAUGAUCUUGUAGAUAACUAGAGUGGAUUGUGACUUAGUAGAUAGUAGAUACUCAGAAUCCAUUCUCUAGCUAAUCCGACGUCACCUUAAAUUUAUGAGGAGUAGUCUAUUUCUAAUCGCUGUGUUAUUUACCCAUGAGCUUAUAUUUCAUUAUCUUUAUUAUUAUGGCUUACCCCCUGCCAAAGCAAGUGACUGUGUGACGAGUUCCUCAUUAGUAAUCAUGUUAUUGCAAGUUUAUCUCUAGUCUAUGCCUUGAUAGAUUUUACUUAUGUUUUCAUUUUCUCCGUUCUCUUAAGCAAAAUAUAAAUAACGUUACCCGGAAUACUUUUCCUGGUGAAAUGCUACAAUGAGGUAUUUUAUCUGUGCGCUUGUGGAUAGAAUAUAUUAUUUUCUAGAGAGCCUCCAUAUUCAUAAAUACCUUAGUACACUCUAGUGCCAUGCUGGGGAUGACAACCUAGUAUCCAAGUGGUGUUAGUAAGUGCCAACAGUCUCCUUGGAGGAUCUUACACUAGUACAAAAAAACCUAACCGUGGCGGGCAUUUUUCAUUUACCGUGGCGGUUUUGGCAACCGCCACGGACAUAAGGUCACGGUUAAUCAUGGCUUAACCGAGGCGGUUUUCCAAACCGCCACGGUUAAAGACUUAACCGUGGCGGGCUACAUAAGGCAACCGCCACGGUAAAUGUUCAAUAACCGUGGCGGUUGCCUUACGCAGCCCGCCAUGGUUAAGUUUUUAACCGUGGCGGUUGUCUUAUGUUGCCGGCCUCUAUUAAAGUUUUAAUGGAGGCGGUUGUUUCUAUUUGCCCGACUCUGUUAAUGUUUGUUUGACAUUUAAAAAAAUUAUUAUCAAUUCGGAUUCAAAACCUAUUUCAAAUUCAGAUUUCAAUGUUGCUAAUGUUAUUUUCUAAGCAAAAUUUUGAUAAUGUUAAUAGCAGCAAAUAGAUGACAUAUAUAUAUAUACAUGCAUGUUAAUUUAAAACAACCAAUAUUAGUGAUCACAUCAUUCUUUAUAAACACAUCAUUCACAUCAUUCGUGCAUACAUGGUUCUACAUAUCAUCUAAGGAGGGAAACAAAUAAUCUUUCAUUUGUAACCCUUUUUCCUUGUCGCUCCAGUUUCUGAUUCUCUCAAACUUUGGAUCUAGAGCUAAGUCACCUUCCUUAUUGAAGAAUGUUCGACCUUCAUGUGCGGCCUCGGUGACAAACUUACAUAUAUCUGCUACAGUUUGUCUGAACUGAGGGUCGACCUUCUCCUUUUCCCACCAACCUUGUGCUUUCUUAAGUUGUCGCCAACUACUGCUAUAUCUGCUGCACGUCCUCAGAUACUCACAAACAUAGAAUCCACAUGAAACUGAGCCAUAGGGUUGUUUGGCGCACUGCAGGAUACAACUAGUAGUGAGUAUAGUAUAGUAUUGUAAAAGUAGUAGUAGUGUAGUAGUAGUGGUUGUAGUAGUAGUGUAGUGGUAGUACAUUAUUAGUAUUGCUACUUACCGGGAAAUCACACUUGAUUUUUAGUUUUUUACCAUUCUUGAUCUUUGACUUUUCAGAUCUCCGAUCAUAGCACUCAGGAUCUUCCACGUACUUCUUAUAAGCACUGUACCAAAAAAUACUAGUGUCAACGACAACUUGAAGACAUUUAUAUGUCAACUGUAAAUGAAUAAGAAUAAGCUCUAUCACUUACUAUCUCAAAACGCUUUCAAAGUGCUUGUACCCUGCUUUGUUUGUUCCCUGUAAUGAGUCUAAUAUGCAAGCCCUUCCAUCUUGAGGAUAGAUUAUAAAUGCUAUCCAGUGACCCAUGAUGCCAUGACUACACCAUUCAUCAGAUGAUAUAGAUUUCAAAUGGUCAAAUAUGAGAAGUCAUGGUCUUAGUUACAAUAUAUAUGAUCAAAGUAUCUUUUGUUCUUACCCGAAUUGGUGGGCAGCCAUGAUGCAUCCAUCUCCUCGGACCUUCUUCAUGGCCUCAUAGAUAUACAUUCCCGCCCGAUACCUAUAUUCGAUUAGUAGAUCUUUCCUAUAUUUCACUCUCUCUUUCGCAUUUAAGUUCACCAAGUCUUCAUGAGUAUCGGGUAUAUCGUAACCCGCAAUUGUUCUCUCUGUAAGAAGGAUUGGAGAUAGAUAUAUAAUACCCUUGUUUAACUCUUUGCUUACGUAGGCUUGCAUCCUGCAAGAAGUAAUCAUGGCAUUAUUAGUUUGAGUGUUAAAGUUCCCAUAGCAAUGAUCAGGUUCUAUCAAAGAUGUAAGUAACUUACAAGGCAAAUAUGGUGACUUGGGACACGUCGAGGUCCUUUCGCCGUAGUAGUCUAUGCAUGUCAUGGAAAUCAACAACUACUACACCAUCCGUAGGCAUUUGGAAGUACUCAGCCGGGAUGUUGAUGACAAAGUUGUGUAGGCCCAAUUUUGCGGCUUCCACGUACCACAAAUGGAACCUCCUUACCUCCCACCUCUCUUCAAUGAGGUCACCCAAGGUCAACAUAAACUUCCCAUGCACAUAGUUCUUGGGGCAAUCAUCCGACCUGGGCCAAAAGGACGGAGGUGUUUUCGGCCUACAACACCAAGGCUUGACAUAUUAGGGAGUGGAAAAGGCAGAGAACAUCUUAAAACGAAUUAUAUAUUGAUGAUGCAUGCUACUACCAUACCUUUCAAAUGUAGUUGAGAAUGGGUGCUUGUUGGCUAUUUGAUAGGCCACCCAACUCGACUUGGUAUGGUUCGGUGGUAUGGCCUCAUCUUCAGGCUUCCUCGGAGGAGGAGGAGGACAUUGGUUUGAGCCUUGGUUUGAUCCACUUGUAGGUGGUGGUGUCACUUCGCUCGGUGUUGCCCCUAUUCCUUCCUGUGUAUUGCAGUUGUCAGGAGUCACGCUUCUUUGAGGAGUGUUGCUUGGGCCACCAGCACAUUUUUGGUCAUCACCACCACCUUCGUUGUAAUCACUUGGGCUAGCCGCAGGGGACGAUGAUGGUUGUGAGGCCUGGGACAUCGGCGUCGGCAUUUCCAACAAGAUAUCACUCUUGUUCCAUAGCACGCACCAGCCGAUUGUUCCGCCGAUGAACCUGAUUCCAUCUUCUGUGGGAAUGUCAAGUUCAUCCUCCUCAAACUCUGUGUUCGUCCAUGCCACAACCACCUUAGCAUAGUCAGGUGGGAUGCGCUUGCCGUCAUACGUGGUGUUUUUGUUGGGCGGUAGUACCACACCUUGGGCCACCUCCUUCUUCCUCCCACUCCUACCAAAGGGCAUCUGGAGCGUGCAGAUUGUUUGUUCGGUGAUGUCAUCGGCUGGGUACCUUCGAUGUUGUCCAGGCCCUGGGACAAUCUGCCCUUGUAUGGUGGGUUGACCCGGUAGUGGCAGCACACCAGCCUGUUCAAAUAUCUGCAUCCUCAGCUGCACCAUCUUAGGGUCCGUGCUCGUGAAAGCGUCUUGUAUCUUCCCCAUGAUCAUUUCCUUGACUGCAUCAUCCUUGCCUUUCUGGAUGAGCUCUUCCUUAUACCUCUGCCUCGAGCGGUAAGAGCUACCCUCAGCUUGCCAAGACUCCACAUCCUUCCAACUUUUCCUUGAGGAAAUCCCACGUACGCGGCCGCGGUGCUCGGGGUUUCCUAGUGCCUCAGUUAGGACGUCCCUAUCUCGCCGAGGUUCGAACGAUCCGCUCUUCUCGGCUGCAGUGACCUCAAAGAUCCUCUUCUCCACCUCCUCGAUUUUUGGGUCAUUGUACUUGGUCCUACCCUCCUUUAGUUUUUUUGGCUGUCGUGCUUUUAGGAAGUGACGUGACCUCUCAUCGAUAUCCAUUAAUGGAUUCGACUGCCCAGCCUCAGCUGCCUCCCUUUCUUCCUGCCGCCACAGCUCUACCUUGCCAGCGUAGCCUAUCAUGCCUAGGUGGUGGGCAAGCUCGUUCCUCUUAGUGAGCUCUUUGAACUUCUCGCUCUUGGCCUUUGCAUCUUCGCUUAACAUCUUUGUGACGAACUCUUCCCAAACAUUAGCUAAGAUGCAGUUGUAGUCUUCGAAUGGUGUCCUUCCUUUCUGGACGUAGUCUCGAUUGAGCAUAGAUCUAAAGUUACGAAGUGCUUUGCCUACGAUAAAUAGUGCAUGGCUCUUGCACUUGUCUUCAUCAUAACCUUGCACUGGAUACGUGAACCGCCUCUUCACCUCUCCCCACACUGUAUUCUUGAUGUCUAUGGGGACUUUCCUCCAAUCACUAUAUGUGAUAGGCACCUUCUCCCUAACUAUACAUGAACACUGGUUGUUGAAGGUGCCGAUGAUGGUUUUUGGCGCCAAGGGCUCUCCUUUUGGCCCUAUAUGGUGUAUCGCAAACACUUUUUUCUUGCUAACCUGGUGCCUCCCGUGUUGUCCCCUCUUCAAGUUGGACCUGUCCUUGGUACUAGUUGAUGAAGUGCCCGUGGAGGUAGUGGGUGCUUUGUCCCUAUUUGGUGUAUCCGCAACUUGUUCAUCUCCUUCAUUGGGGUAAUCCAAGGAACGAGGCACGAUUGAUGCCUUUCAAGGAGAAGACCUUGCAUUAGUUACAUACUUAAAUGAGAGGCCCCCGUACGUGUCAAUUAACAAUGGGUGCAUUAUAAACUUACAUCGAGCCUUUGUGAUAUAGAAUCAUCUACCGAUGCAACAUGUGUCUCCGUGCGAGGAGCUCGUUUCUCGACCGUCGGAUCAAAGUCUGGAUCAUCAUCAUCCUCUCCACGAGGUCUCUUUUGUGGCCUCGGUGUUAGUUGCUCGCUCUCGUAAGACGAGGUGUCUGAUGAUGAGCUAUUAUCAUCGCUCUCAUUAGGAGUAGGCUCACGCCAAUUUUGAAGUGCCUCCUCCGUCGACAUUGGUAGCUAUGAAGAAGAUAUAGUUAUAUGGAACAUUCAUAGUAAUAUAAACACGAACAAUGCCAACUUCAUCUCAGAAUAUGUAAAAGAAUCAUUAAAAGUAUAUAUUCAUUUGACAACAAGUAUACAUCUUUUUUUCAUAUACAUUCAUUGUUUGUAUACAAAAAGUGCAGAAAAGUACAAAAGUGAAAAAGAAAAUUACAUAGUUAUAAUAGAAAAAAGUACAAAAAUUAGAAAUUGGAGCAAAAUGGUGUACAUAGUUGGCUCAGAUUCGCCCCAUUGUCAUCAUGCUUCUAAACUGGUUGCUUGAAUACAAGCCAUCCUAGAUUAGGAGCUUAUUUCCAUUAAUAAGGAGGCAUGUGAUCAUCAUAGCCGCUGCCUCAGUACAAAAAGAUUCACAUCAUAACAAAUGCCACUGCCUCAGCAUAUUUUUAAACUUUUCAACAAUUCAUCAUUGCACAUGCCACAAAUUAAGCUCAAAUUGAAUCAAAGCAUAUUACAUGAAACUUAACCAUGGUGGGCAGGGUAGUAGAGAAUAACAGUAGUAGAGAGUAGAAUAUAGAGUAGUAGAGAAGGUGAUAGUAAUAGUUCAUGGGCAGUGGCAUCCCAACUCAUCUCAAAUUGGCCAAACUUCAUCCAAAUUCAUAAAAAAUUCAUCCCAACUCAUUUCAAAUUGACCCCAAUUUAUCCAAAUGUUGGCACAGUGCUCAGUUAACUAUGUAAUUGGCAUCAUAGGCAGUGGCAUUGCAAUGUUAGUUAAAAAUAUACAAACAUCACUGGCAGCAAUUCAUCAAAUUGGCAUCACAGGCAACACUUAAUAAAAAAGACAGUACAGGUCAAACGUCAUAAGCACCAGGGAGCCACGGAGAUCGAACAUCAAAACCAGUGUACCAGGCACCAUGGGGCCGGGGAAGAAGAGGGAGCCGGUGGAGACGUCGGGGAAGACGAAGCCGAGGGAAAAGUCGACGCUGGGGGAAGGAGGGAGCCGGUUGAGACGUCGGGGAAGACGAAGCGAGGGAGAUCUAGGGUUUUAAUUAAUCCACAUCGUCUCUGUCGCUGGUUCGCCCGCUGUUGAUAUUUGGGAACGCAAUAAGGAAUUGAUCCGCAAGCGCACGGAUAUCGGUGAGCACUUCACCCGAGAAAUUAUCCAGAGUAUCGUAUUUAUUUUUUUACCACUAGGAGAAAGAGUGCAUCUGACUAACCGGUCUAUUACUACUAACCUUUAGGCACAAAGAAUGUCUUUCGAUGUGAGUGAUAAAUAGAGAAGACUGCAACCGUAGUCUCCUUCUAACCUUGGUAAGGAUGAUCUACUGUUCUAAUGGGGAGGCUAACGGAAUCUAGACAACAGGAUGUUCGACCCGCACCUAUAAACCCUAUCCUUCCUGCUAACGAGAUGUGAUCUACAAAGGUAGCUCGGAAAUGUCACGUUCCUCACUACUACCACGGUCCAGCUAGUCAGGGAAUAUCUAUGAGUACCCCAGCCUAAACACCACGUUUACGCCAGCAAUGAUUACUCUAAACUCUACGCGAAGAGAUUAAAGUAAACUCAUAAACCAUAAGAACAAUAAAACAAGAACUUACUAGAAUUUAGAAGUCGAAUUACUGAAGAAUCCUAGGAGCAAGCUUCGGGUUAGGAGAACUCGAUCCCGCAGGUACAAGCUUGGAGUAGACACCGACAGGCCGGGCUUCCUCCACUCUUCACCUCCACUCUAUCUCUCUCAAUCUUGUAGAAACUAGAAGAUCUAUUUCUACCUUACAUUGGUUGCUAAGCCUAAAAAGAAAUAUUAAUUAGAGAAGAGGUUUUCCUUCGAGGGCACCCCUCAGUCUCUAUGAUAAUUUCUUCAUGUCUUCUCUAGGGGCCAGGGGGGCCUUGCUUAUAUAAUCCUCCCCUUCUAUGCGUUUUUGGGUCGAUAGGCGAGGUGGUACUAUGUUUUUCUUGAUCCAAUAGGUCGGUGGAAUAUCCCGAACGAAGAGAGUCCCGAAAGCAAUCUAGCAGGGGGCGGGCGCCCAGGCUACCAGGGCGGGCGCCCUGGGCCUGGCCCAGUUUCGCCUCCGCUUCGGUCUCGCGGCUUCUGGAGUCUUCUAGAUGAUGUAAAAUUACGCGGUGCGUUGAUAUCUCUAUGUAAUCCCGACAUGUGGGCCUUUCUUCCUUAUUUCCUGAUAACCCCCUACAGAAACAGAUAAACAACAAAACUCGUGGAAUUCUGUCAGAUCAAACCCUAAUUCUAGGUGUUGGUUGCAUAUUGGUCCUUUCUCUUGUUUCUUUGAUAAUUAAAAUUGAUACUUAAGAACCGUCAACAAAUACCCCCAUACUUAGGCUUUUACUCGUCCUCAACAAAAGGAUGGUUAAGAAUAAUAUCUGGGGUAAACAUUUUAAAGCAUUCUCUAUAUAAUUGCAGGGUGUUAAAAUCCACUGUGUACCAUAGUCAGGAAAGUUUAUGAUUAAGAGUAAAGAUCCUUUCUUCUCAAUCCUGUCACUUGGAGCUUUUGUAUAUUUUUGAAAGAAAGUUAGCAUACCUUUUUAUCCUCAUAGGUUCUUCUCAGAUCACUCAUUAUCUUUUAUAUAUAUCUCACUGAGGUUGUUUUAAUUUGCAAAAAUUCUCAAGCAUACUUACUUUGCAUUUAUUGCCUGCUCAAAACGGGAUCCGAGGAGGGGAAUGUCAUACUCUUAGCUCAAAGACUUUGGAAAUUAAAAACUUUGUCAUCUCUUGCUGGCAUAUUGCUUAUUAGAGGGACCAUGGGCUAUCAUUUUUUUCUCUUUUUCUCUUCUUUUUUUAAGUGGAUACCGAGGUACCCCUAAUUCUACUGCCGGACACUUGUCCAUUUUUUUUCUGCGAGGUUGUCGAGCACUUGCUCCUUUUUAUUUCCUCGAAAUAUCUCUAUUUUUUUUCAUAGCCCAUGCCUCUAAUGCAAUAAUACUUUGGAAGAGUGAAUCUUACUGAAAUAAUAUCUUGAUCUUAGGAGCAUGAUAAAUCUCUCAACAAGGGUCUAACUCAUUUUGAACAAACUCAAUACAGAGCAGAUAGCUUUUUACAAUCAUAUUUAAUAUUUUCUGUUUUAUCAGGCAUAUAAAACAUUGAGGAUGGUAGCUAGAAUUUUGAAUAUUUUGAAAUAAAUUCUCCAAGCAACAAUGAUAUCAAAAAUAAGAAACUCAUACUCUACCAUCACAUAUUCCAUAUUGACUUAAGUAACACAGGGUUUUAAAAUGAUUUUAUAAUAAUUGCAAAUUUUCAGGAAAUAUCAUAGAUUGAGAUUAAUCAUGAUUAGAAAUAUUUUAAUCUUUUUUAUUUUAUCAUGUCGGAAACAAUAAUCUGCAUAAUCCAAAAUAUAUAUAUGUGUAAAGUAAAGUGUGCAGAGUGUGUACCUGAGUGGUGGAGUGGUGUAUUUGGCAUGUCAAGGGAUCUCCCCCAUACUUGUUUUCUGCUUUCUUACGAAAAUAAAGUAGAGACACACAAGACAUAAUAAUAAUAAUAAUAAUAAUAAUAAUACUCUUUAUUAAUCUUGAGGAAUUUAUUACAAAAGACUAGUAGCAGACUGAUGAUAAUAGUAAACUGAUGAUAAUAGCAAACCUAAACCGAAUUUAAAGAUAACUAAGAUGCAUUGCCUCAAGGUCUAAUCUAGAUAACUUAACGGCGCUCUAAUUCCUUAAUCUUCUUGUUGGCACUGGCAAGAUCCUGCCUAAGGCCUAGUAUAAUGGUGUUGUGGUUAGAGAGCUGCCUAGUGAGGGAAUUAAUCGAGGACUGGAGGUCUAUGAUAACUCUAUCUAGCCUGCGAACUUCCUCAUCAAUAUCCAUUAUAGUCUUGCGACGCUUGGGAGGUGUCUCAAAAGCAUUGAGAGCGUGCUUUGGGGCUGCCUUUAGAGGGAUGAAACGGACUUUAGCUGCUCUAAUCCCUUCAAAGUAAGGUCUUUCCUCCUCUGUAGUGUAGCGAAUACUGCUGAUCUCGCCGCUUCGGUUGGUCUUGACUCCAAUGACCCUCUCAUUGGGUCUAGGUGGAAGGAUCCUCAUGCCGAUUGGCACCUUGAUAGUGGUCUUCGUCUUGGAUGAUGAUCCUUUGAGGAGUAGGGGUUGUGGCGGUGCGGUGAGAACUGGUUGAGCAUGGUAAGAUUGGGCGGAGCUGCGUUGGCGUAAUGGCAUGGCUUCUAGCUGACGCUCUGUGUUGGCUGGGACGAGAGCACGGGCAUCGGGGUCUUCCACAGGCUCCAUGUUGAGGUUGAAGGGGACGACUUCCCAAUCAUCGUGGUACUUCUCGGCCAUUGGAGCAGCAAGGAACUAAUAAAAUUUUAAUUGAAGUAGAGCUAAUCAAGCUCUAAUUGAAGGAGAGAAAGCUUGGUGGCGUGGUGUUUGAAAACUGAGGUCAGGGGUCUGUUUAUAUAGGGGUCAAAAGGAUGCCUCUAUGGGUUGUUCGGGUUGCUCCCGUCGAUGUGCGUACGAAACUUUCCAUCCGAGGGAUUAUUCGGAUCACCCUAAGUGCAUUUUCCAUAACAGAGAAAGUCGGGACCGAGGGGGAGCAGGGGCUGGGCGCCCGCCCACUUGACCUGGGCGCCCGCCCUCUCUCUGGCCCCUCUGUGGGCCCACUUCUCCGAGCGCGUUUCUAGAUGCGAAAUUAUUUAGAAAAAUAUAUAUAUGACCCAAAACCAUCAGACCAAAAGUGUCGGACUCUAAUUCUCCAUGGGAAGGUAAAAUGGACUACGUCUAUUUCUUCAAAUUCCUCAUUGGGCUCUAAAAAUAAUUUAAGACGUUGACCAUUUACCUUGAAUAAUGUACCUUCGCUAUUUUGAAGUGUGAUAGCUCCGUGGGAUGAUGAGUUGAUUACCUUGAAUGGCCCUUCCCAUUUGCUCCGGAGUUUUCCAUGCCCGAAAAGCUUUACCCUGGAAUUAAAAAGUAAUACCUUAUCUCCGGGUGUGAACUCCUUCUUCUUGAUUCUCUUGUCAUGCCACCUUUUGACUCUUUCUUUGUAGAUCUUUGAAUUGUGAUAUGCCUUCUCUCGCCAUUCUUCCAAUUCUGAUAGUUGCAUUCUUCUAUAAUCUCCAGCAACAUCUAGGUCCAUAUUCCAUCUCUUUAUGGCCCAGUAUGCUUUGAACUCUAGUUCAACAGGUAGAUGGCAAGUCUUCCCAUACACCAAUUGGUAUGGAGACAUUCCAAUUGGGGUCUUGUAUGCUGUCUGGUAUGCCCAGAGUGCAUCGGGUAACUUGUCUUUCCAUGCCGUUCCCAUUUCAUUUACUGUCUUCUGAAGAAUAUUCUUGAUUUGUUUGUUGGAAGUCUCUGCUUGGCCACUUGUCUGAGGAUGAUAGGGGGUAGCAACGUUGUGACGGAUUCCAUGUCUUGAUAGGUAUUGCUUGAAGCGUUUGUCAAUGAAGUGUGCUCCUCCAUCACUUAUCACUACUCUGGGGACUCCAAAUCUUGGAAAUAUAAUUUCUUCAAACAUCCUCUUUGAACUGACGUUGUCGGCAUGCUUGCAAGGUAAUGCUUCUACCCACUUGGAGACAUAGUCAACUGCCACCAAGAUGUACUCACACUUCUUUGAUGGAGGAAAUGGACCCAUGUAGUCCAUUCCCCAGACAUCAAAGAGCUCAAUCUGAAGGUUGUUGGUGAGUGGCAUUGCAUCCCUUAUGUUUCCGUGCCUUUGACAUGGCCCACAUCUUCUGAUAUAUUGCUUCGUGUCCUCAUACAUUGUAGGCCAAUAGAAUCCACACUGCCAGAUCUUUGAAUGUGUACGGAAUGCUCCAUAAUGACCUCCAUAUGGUGAUGAAUGACAUCUGUCGAUGAUCUUCCAUCCUUCCUCAGUGGUCACACAUCUCCUGAGUAAGCCAUCAGAGCAUACUCGGAAGAGGUAUGGCUCAUCCCAUAUAUGUGAACGACUUUCUUGAAUAAGCUUCUUCUUGUUUGCUCCUGGUGGUACAUACCCUGAAACCAUAAAAUUAACAAUAUCUGCAUACCAGGGGUCAGACCUGUUAAUCCCGUAGAGCAUGUCGUCCUGGAGUGAAUCAUUGAUGGGGGUUUCCUGUGGACUCUUAAAAUACAUUCUAGACAAGUGAUCAGCAACAGAAUUUUCUACUCCCUUUUUAUCUUUUAUUUCUAAGUCAAAUUCUUGGAGUAAUAAAAUCCAUCUAAUCAGGCGAGGUUUAGCAUCUUUUUUAGUGAGCAAAUAUUUUAAUGCAGCAUGAUCAGUGUAAACAAUUAUUUUAGCUCCAACUAAAUAAGAUCUAAAUUUAUCAAUGGCAAAGACAACAGCCAGAAGCUCUUUUUCAGUGGUUGCGUAAUUAAGUUGAGCUCCUGUCAAACUUUUACUGGCACAAGCAAUUGCAUGAUGCUUCUUAUCUUUAGUUUGUCCCAAUACUGCCCCCACAGCAUAAUCACUAGCAUCACACAUAAUUUCAAAAGGCAACGACCAAUCAGGGGGUUGAAUGAUUGGUGCAGAGAUGAGUGCUUUCUUUAAUAAAUUGAAAGAUGUUAGACAUGCAUCAUCAAAUUCGAAAGGAGCAUCCUUGGCUAGCAAAAGAGUAAGUGGUCUAGCAAUAAAUGAAAAAUCUUUUAUGAAUCUACGAUAAAAACCAGCAUGGCCAAGAAAGCUUCGAAUUCCUUUUAUGUUCACAGGUGGAGGUAGUUGUUCAAUUACUUCAAUUUUAGAUUUGUCUACCUCAAUCCCUCUUUGAGACACUAAGUGUCCUAGCACUAUUCCUUCCCUAACCAUAAAAUGACAUUUUUCCCAAUUAAGGAUUAAGUGCUUUUCUUCACAUCUUUGCAAAACCUUGUCUAAGUUUUCAAGACAACUAUCAAAAGUUUUUCCAUAAACAGAGAAAUCAUCCAUGAAAACUUCCAUAAUCUCUUCAAUCAUAUCAGAAAAUAUAGACAUCAUGCAUCUUUGAAAAGAAGCUGGUGCAUUACAUAACCCAAAAGACAUUCUACGGUAAGCAUAAGUUCCAUAUGGGCAUGUAAAAGUGGUUUUGCUUUGAUCAUCGGGAUGGAUCGGGAUUUGGUGAUAUCCUGAGUAUCCAUCUAAGAAACAGAAAAACGAAUGGUUUGCUAACCGCUCUAGCAUUUCAUCUAUGCAAGGUAAAGGAAAGUGGUCUUUUCUCGUGGCUUUGUUUAAUUUUCUAUAGUCUAUGAACAUCCGCCAUCCUGUGACAGUGCGUUGCGGAAUUAGCUCGUUCUUUUCAUUCAUAAUAACUGUCAUGCCUCCCUUUUUGGGCACAACUUGCACUGGGCUCACCCACUCACUGUGCGGCACAAGAUAUAUAAUCCCUGCAUGCAGCAACUUUAUAACUUCCUUUUUAACUACCUCUCUCAUAGUGUUGUUAAGUCUACGUUGGGGUUCUCGAGAGGGUGUAACAGAAGGAUCUGUUGGAAUACGAUGGGUACAAAUCAUAGGACUGAUUCCUGUAAGAUCUUGAAGUGAGUAGCCAAAAACCGAGUGAUGUUUCUCAAGAAUGGUCAUUAAUCGCAGAGUUUGAUCCUGAGUGAGUUUAUCGCUAAUGAUCACAGGGAACUCUGGAUUAUUGUUUAGGAAAGCAUAGGUAAGACCGGGUGGUAAACUUUUAAGCUCUAUGGGGGGUCUAGGUGUUUCUGCAAACUCAUCUAAGGGUUCAGGCUCAGAAGGUUCGUCUUCUUCUUCUGUGAAGAAAGGAGUUUCAUCUUCUAAGUCUAGUUCAUCAAAAAGCUCUAGAGAUGCAGCCUUUACUUCCUCCAUAGGAUCAGGCAAAAGAUAUGACUCGGCCUUAUUGUUUAAGGAGUGUGAAAUUAUCAGUAUGACCUUCAUAAAGGAGUCGUCUAAAAGGUUGUCCUAUCAACAGGUCGAAGUCCCAUGUAUCAAAGAUAUAGAAGUUCAAAUGAACCAUGGAGCCUUCUACUGUAAGAGGUAGGACAUUAAUAAUUCCAAGACUGGGGACUAAUCGUCCCGAAGAUUCCUUUAUGACCUUUGUUGUGGGGGUUAAGAUAAGAUUUUUAAAUAGUUUAAGUGCAAAGGAUUCAGACAUAAUGUUGAUCCCCACAACAGGAUUAUAAAGAGCAUUAAAUCGCUCAGAAUUAUAAGCACAACGUAUAGUUCUAGAGGGUGUGUCCAAACGGAUCACAUCAGAGGAAAGCUCUGAUUCCUCCAACCACUCGCUACUCAUGACUGAGAUAAGCUCUCUCAAUUGAUAUUCACUUGGUAAAUAAAUGCUAGACUGGCCAUUUUGGGGUUUGUCAAUAGAAUGGUAGUUUGAAAUAUUUCCAAAAUCGGCAAAAAUAUCGGAUUCUAUAUCCAGCAUGAAGUCCGGUGGUGGAAUUUCUUCCUCUUGUGGCUCCGAACUUGGGAUAGCUAAAGUAGAUGAAGAAUUUGGUAGAGUGUCUACUUCGGCUUCGUAGGUUUCAUCAUGAAGGGUAUUAUCCAUCUCAGCUUCUAGGAUUCUAUCUAGGAUCACUCUAGCUUCAUCAGCAGGGAUGCGAAAGAAAGAACCUCUAGACAUUGUGUGUAGCAUUUGUUUGUGAUUUUUAUGAAGACCUCAAAAAAAGUGAAAUAAAAGAACAGGGUCUUCAAGAUUAAGGUUUGGACCAGAUUCUAAAAGAUCAGAAAAACGUUUCCAGGAUUUUCCCAAAGUUUUAUUAUCUUUUUGUUUAAAAGAUAGGACUUCGAGUCUAAGGUCGGCUAUACGGUCAAGGGAAUAGAAAUCUAGACAAAAGUUGGCUCGUAAAACUCCCCAUUCACCUUGUUGUUGACUUACCUUCUGACUGUACCAUUGUCUAGCUUCUCCCCUCAAAGAAAAAGGAAAAAUCUUCCAACGUAAAGUUUUAUCAGAAAUGCCUUCAAUGCGAAGACAAUCACAUGUUUGCUCAAAAUCUCUAAUAUGAAGGUAAGGGUUUUCGUCUUCCUUUCCCGAAAAAGAUAGGUUUUGAAUCAUGGCAAUCAACCUAGAACUUAACUUAUACUGGGAUGUUUGGAUAGGCUGUGAUGACUCCCAUGGUAAAAGGUCAGUUGCUAAAGGGAUUGCAGACUCAUGGAUCGAUUUAGAAUUUUGGUUUUCCAUAAGGUAAGAAUAAAGAAAAUAAAUAAAGGAUAUAUAAGAAAAGAUAAAAGUAUAGAUACAAGCUAAUAGCAAGACACAGGUUAUCUCAGCAACCGUCUUUCUCCCCGGCAACGGCGCCAGAAAUGCUUGUUGAUAUUUGGGAACGCAAUAAGGAAUUGAUCCGCAAGCGCACGGAUAUCGGUGAGCACUUCACCCGGGAAAUUAUCCAGAGUAUCGUAUUUAUUUUUUUACCACUAGGAGAAAGAGUGCAUCUGACUAACCGGUCUAUUACUACUAACCUUUAGGCACAAAGAAUGUCUUUUGAUGUGAGUGAUAAAUAGAGAAGACUGCAACCGUAGUCUCCUUCUAACCUUGGUAAGGAUGAUCUACUGUUCUAAUGGGGAGGCUAUCAGAAUCUAGACAACACACAGGAUGUUCGACCCGCACCUAUAAACCCUAUCCUUCCUGCUAACGAGAUGUGAUCUACAAAGGUAGCUCAGAAAUGUCACGUUCCUCACUACUACCACGGUCCAGCUAGUCAAGGAAUAUCUAUGAGUACCCCAGCCUAAACACCACGUUUACGCCAGCAAUGAUUACUCUAAACUCUACGCGAAGAGAUUAAAGUAAACUCAUAAACCAUAAGAACAAUAAAACAAGAACUUACUAGAACUUAGAAGUCGAAUUACUGAAGAAUCCUAGGAGCAAGCUUCGGGUUAGGAGAACUUGAUCCCGCAGGUACAAGCUUGGAGUAGACACCGACAGGCCGGGCUUCCUCCACUCUUCACCUCCACUCUAUCUCUCUCAAUCUAGUAGAAACUAGAAGAUCUAUUUCUACCUUACAUUGGUUGCUAAGCCUAAAAAGAAAUAUUAAUUAGAGAAGAGGUUUUCCUUCGAGGGCACCCCACAGUCUCUAUGAUAAUUUCUUCAUGUCUUCUCCAGGGGCAGGGGGGCCUUGCUUAUAUAGUCCUCCCCUUCUAUGCGUUUUUGGGUCGAUACGCAAGGUGGUACUAUGUUUUUCUUGAUCCAAUAGGUCGGUGGAAUAUCCCGAACGAAGAGAGUCCCGAAAGCAAUCCAGCAGGGGGCGGGCGCCCAGGCUACCAGGGCGGGCGCCCUGGGCCUGGCCCAGUUUCGCCUCCGCUUCGGUCUCGUGGCUUCUGGAGUCUUCUAGAUGAUGUAAAAUUACGCGGUGCGUUGAUAUCUCUAUGUAAUCCCGACAUGUGGGCCUUUCUUCCUUAUUUCCUGAUAACCCCCUGCAGAAACAGAUAAACAACAAAACUCGUGGAAUUCUGUCAGAUCAAACCCUAAUUCUAGGUGUUGGUUGCAUAUUGGUCCUUUCUCUUGUUUAUUUGAUAAUUAAAAUUGAUACUUAAGAACCGUCAACACCCGCCACCUCCUCUGUUCUCUCCCAACGGUGAACGGACCAAGGCCAAACCCUAGCGACUGCGAGCGAGAUUCCGGCGGGCGACAACCGAGGCGAGUUUCUAAGUCAACUCGAUUCGAUUCGCCAGCCACCACGCUCCGGUUGGGGAAGAAGACCGAGCCGCCGAGCACACGAGGAAGAAGCGCGGAGGAGGCGCCUGACGGCGGUGGUACGAGCGGAGGAGGCGCUUGACGGCGGUGGCGGCGGUGGCGGCAAAUUUGAGCAGCCCUUCGGGGUCAAAGUAAGACAGCCGAAGACCUAGCACUCGCAGGGGACGAGGCCAGGCUUAUAUAGGGGAAGAUUAACCGUGGCGGGCAGAUAAGAGUGACCGCCACGGUUAAUAUUAACCGUGGCGGGCGUUUUACAAUGACCGCCAUGGUAAAUGCAUUAACCGUGGCGGUUAUUUUAUGAUGCCUGCCACAGUAAAUAAUUUAUGUAAAUUAUAAAAUAAUUAAAUCAUUUGUAAAGUAUCUCUAAUGAUAUAAUAGGUCUUAACAAAAUAUAUAAUAUUUAUGUACAAAUUUUGAGUAAGACGGAUGAUCAAAUAAGAUGUGUGAAAUUCUAAAAUGACAUUCUUUUUGGGACGGAGGGAGUAGGUAGUAAGAGUAGUUAGGAGUAGUAGUAACUAGUAGGAUAUUAGUAGUAGUAGCAGUAGUACAUUACAAUAUAUGUGGUUCCAUUACAAUAAUAGAUAGUUACAUAAGUUCUUGUUCGUUAAUAUCAUUUUGUUACAAGUGAUCCUACGACGGUCUUCCUCUCACCAUCAGGGCAAAACCACGGCAUAAUCUUACUCUUAUUGCAGCGGGCCUCGAUGAACUUUAUCUUCCGUGGAUGGUCGGUAAAGAGCGAUAGCUCAGCAUAGUUGAUGUAUUCUUCGGGGCUUUGGACUCCAUCUGCUCCCACAAUCCGCUGCUUCCCGGACACAACCACAUGUUUUUUGCUGUCUUUGGGCUUCGGAAAGUAGGCAACUUGCGCACAACGGCUUGCUAGCACCCACUGAUCAUCUUUAUAGCCGACACUUUGGAGCUCCACAUUGGUUAGCCCAUAUUCAUCGACAAGAACCCCUUUUGGUUUGACGCACUGGCACCGAAAGACAGCUAACUGUAGUUCACCACCGUAGUCAAGUUCCCAUAUGUCUUCAAUCUGCCCAAAGUAUGUCCUGGUCAGCCCUGUUGAGUCGUCAAUGCCCUCAUAUCAAACCCCACUAUUCUGUGCCGCGCUCUUCUUGUCCUUCUCCUUUGUGUGGAAUCUGUAUCCAUUGAUGUCAUACCCUUGCCAUGUGGUGAUUUGUGUUGAUGGGCCAGAUGCAAGCCUUGCUUCAUCAGAGUCCCCGUGGGGUAUGUCCUAUAGCUCUUUGAUCGACACUGUGAAAUUUGCCUUGUGUUGCUUUUGGACCCAUGCCUCCGUGCGUUGUCCAUCACAAGUGGCACGGAUCUCCUCCAGAUGCUUAUCAACAAAUGGUUCCAUAACCACUAGUUGAUUGAGGACAUUGUGAUGAGCUUCUUUCACCAUUUCGUACUUGAAAUCGGUGCGUACUUUCCUCCCUGUGCAACCAAUUCCUAUUGUUCUGCCUUCAUGCUGAGGGACAGGUAGGCCAAUAGCCCUUCCGUCCUGGAUAUACUUCGUGCAACAGUUAACAGCCUCCUCGGUUGUGUAUGCCUCGACCAUAGAGCCCUCUGGGUAGGCAUGGUUAAGGACGUAUCUGUUGAGGGUUGACAUGAACCGCUCAUACGUCCACAUCUGGUGCAGGUACACGGGGCCUAGCUCUUGUAUCUGAUCAACCAUGUGCAUCAUCAGGUGUGUCAUAAUAUCAAAGAAAGAUGGUGGGAAGCACAUCUCGAGCUGGCAAAGAGUCUAUGUGAUGAACUGUUUUAGGUCAGGCAGCUCAGCUUCAUCGAUCACCUUUUGUGUGAUGAAGUUAAAGAAGUAACCAAGGCGUGUGAUGACCAUCUUCACAUACUCUAGACUGAUAGCCCUGAUCACAAUGGGAAGGAACACUGUGAGCAUGACAUGACAGUCAUGUGCAUUGAAGCUAGUUAGUGUAAGGUCUUUCAUGGAGACCAAGCUCUUGAUGUUUGAAGAGAAACCAGUCGGCACCUUGACACUCCUAAGCCAUUGGCACACAGCCCUCUUCUCAUCUUUCGUGAGGUUGUAGCUUGCGCCUGGAAUAUCAACUUUGCCACUCUGUGGUGACUGUGUUGGGUGAAUUUCAGUCCUGAUGUUCUGGUUCACAAGAUCCAUUCGUGAUUUUAGACCAUCCUUUGUCUUAGUCUUGAUGUCCAACAGAGUGCCAAUGGUGCUUUCGAAGACAUUCUUCUCCAGGUGCAUGCAGUCGAUUGCAUGAGGCGUGUCUAGCUCCUUCCAAUACGGAAGGUACUUGAAGAAACAUGACUGCUUCUUGAAAAGGAUUGGGGCGACAGGUGGUUCACCCUCUAACUUAUCGCGUUUCCUCUUCUUCCUUGAUGUGGUACCGGCUUCCUCUUUCUUCUUCUUCCCGAAAUCAUUAUCUAUACCUUUCACCAUUUCAAACACCUUUUGCCCAAACUUUGUUCUUUCUGCCUUGUCAAGUUCAGGCUCGUCGUUGUUGUCAAAGUACUUAUUCAUUGUACUUGCCCGGUACCUAUGGUUCUUGGAUAGGAAUCGCCUAUGCCUCAUGUACACUAACUUCUUGGAUGAUUUAAGAUAAGUGUAGCAGGUACCAUCAAUGCAAACUACACAACCUGACUUACCCUUGAUCUGCCCUGAUAGGGAAAGAAGAGCUGGGUAAUCGUUGAUGGUCACAAAAAUAAUAGCUUUUAGGGUGAACUUCUUCUUUUCUGAAGCAUCCAUCAUGGUGACCCCAGUUUCCCAUAGUAUCUUCAUGUCCUCCAUGAGUGGCUCGAGGAACACAUCUAUAUCAUUGCCUGGCUGCUUUGGUCCAGAAAUAAUACAGGUUAGUAAAAGAUAUCUAUGCUUUUGACAUAUCUAGGGAGGUAGGUUGUAUAUGGUGAGGAUGACUGGCCAAGUGCUGUGUGAGCUGCUAAGGUCACCGAAUGGGUUCAUCCCAUCGGUACUAAGUGCGAACCUAACGUUCCUUGCCUCAUUACCAAAUUCCUUUUGAAACUUAGCAUCAAAAUGCUUCCAUUGUUUGCCAUCGGCGGGGUGCCGCAGCUUGCCAUCACCCUUUGUGCGCUCAUCAGAUGCAUGCCACGACAUCAGCUUAGCAUCCUCAGGAUUCCCAAAUAUAGCAAGUAGGCGAUCAAUCACGGGUAGAUACCACAUCGUCAAAGCUGGAAUCUUCCUCUGCAUGUAACCCUCUUCUUCCUCAUCCUCCGGCGAUGGGAUCGGCUUCUUCCCAGUAGACUUUUUCUUCUUCAGCGCUCUCUCGUUGUCCGCCUCCGUGCGACAACCGGCAUUCCUUUUGUACCGACUCGCGCCACAGUGCGGACAACUCUGCAAUUUCUCAUACUUGCCUCGAUAGAGGAUACAAUGGUUAGGACAAGCAUGAAACUUUUUAAGCUUCAUCGCCACUGGCCGGAUGAGCUUCUUCGCCCGAUAGGUGUUGGGGGGCACCUUGUUUCCCUCUGGGUAUGUGUCAGCAAGGAUACGUAAUAGUUCGUUAAAGCUACUGUCCGACCACCCAUGACGAGCCUUUACCAUUAGCAUUUGGAGGUUAAAACUUAGUGCUGUCCAGUGCUUCGGACAGUCCUUAUAGAGGGGAUCAAUGGCUGCCUGCUUCAUCUCUCUAAAAUUCUCCAACCACCUUGGGCUCCCAAAUAAAAUGUCAUCUUCAUCAUGACGAUUAGCAAUUGACAAACAGCUCCACAGUCUCAGGAUCCCUCACUGGCUCAUCACUAUCAUCGUAUCCUUCAUCGCCGUCAGCCAUGUCUUGGAGCAGAUCAGCAAUCGUGAUGUAGUCAUGCUCGGUAGUAGCACUACCAUGUUCGUCGUCCGCUACUGAUGAGGUAUGUGGUUCGGUAUUCACCACCGCCUCAUCUUCUAUUUCCCCAUGAAACUUCCAAACAGUGUAAUCAUUGACAAAACCGUAUCGGACCAAAUGAGAUUUCACCGUGUCAUCUCCAUGGGCAUAAAGGUUCUUGCAAGUCUUACAUGGACAGAUGGUGAGUUCUCGCUUGAGACUAAGACGAUGACUUUUGGUGGUGGAAAUAAACUUUGUCAAAUGUUCAAUGUAAGCUGGAUCCAAUCUUGACAUCUUAUACAUCCAUUCCCUGUCCAUGACUCUUGCUCCCUUGCAAAGACAACAAGAAUAACACAUGUAAGCAUACUAAUCUAGAAAAUAAACAACUCAAAAUAGAUCUAGAUCUAGAUUUAAAGAAAAAGGUUCCAAAUCAAAGAAAAGAGAGAGGAUCGAGCAAGAGAACAUAAAUCUACCUCUUGUUGUGUCCUCCUUCACUAAAUAUAAGGGCAAAAUCUUCCCCUCUAGAAAAUGGCCAUUUUUAGGGAUUUGAGGUCAAAACCCUAAAAAUGGAGGAGCAGCCGCGGGGAAAAAGGUGGUUGCGGCUGUAUUUAUAGCCCGUACUUAACCGAGGCGGGCAUUGUAAGCCACCCGCCACGAUUAAUUAGCUAUUAACCACGGCGGGCACUAAAAGGAACCGCCAUGGUUAAUAUAUAUUAACGGUGGCGGUUUUCUAACAAUGCCCGCCACGGUUAAUAUAUAUUAACUGUGGCGGUUUUCUAACAUUGCCCGUCACGGUUAAUUAUUAACCGUGGCGGUUGUCUUCCGGCCUGGCCGGCCUGAACCGGCAGUGAAUAACCGUGGCGGGCGAAACCAACGCCCGCCUCGGAGGGCUUAUGUGAAACGUCGUGCAAAAUAAAUUUUGUAGUAGUGUUAGAGCUUCUUGGUAUGAAUACAAUUCAGUUCUCCUCCAUGAGCAAGUUCUUAUCUUAUUUAUAUGAUUAUGCAAUUGAAUUAGAGUAUAGUUGUGUUCGUAUCUUGUUCAUAGUAUAUGAACUAGUUCUUAGUUCUUGUGCUAUGUUCUUGAUGUGUUCAUCCUUAUUCUUCAUUGUUCAUCGAAUUAGUAUGAAUAGACAAAGGAUUAAGAUUGGGGUAAUGGUUCGAUGGGCUGUGAUGGCCACUCUUAGUCGAGCCUGUCAAUCCGAAGGGUUGGGGUCCUGGGAGGCUAGGAGGUGUUUCCAGUUACACGGGCGAGGUGCUCGGGUAUGCGGAGAUCAGCGGAUGCGUGGGUAUCUUUCGGGUAGAGGGGUAGGUGGUAGGGUAGUGAUAGCUCUAUCAUCCCUGGUAUUCCCCCAUGAUCAGGUAUUUCAAUAGGAGUUCUGUAAAGUCCCUAUGGGCUGGAUGUCCAGCUGUGGGGAUCUCCCAGAGCCUCAGACUUAUUUCUAACUCUAGUUAUAUUGAUUAGAUGUUCUAUCAAUUCUUUGCAUAGUUAUAUAAGAUCAAUGCCGGCUCAAGUAGUUGUUCUUUAUUUCUUUUAUUUCCUUAUUUUCUCUUUAUUCCUUGAGGUUGCCCCGAUGAGUGUGUCCACUAUCCAUAUUUAAGAGCUUGUCGUGACCCCUGAUUAGACUAUGUCUACCUAUGCAUCUCAACAAGUGAUCAUGCUACAAACUAAGCUAGAUGCAUUUGUUACGCCCUCCUACAGGAUUAAAUACGAUAACCCUUGAAUACUCACGGGUUGAAAUGCUACAAUGAUAGUUCUGUUCGCUUGCAGUUUUAUUCUUUAUAUUCAUGAACUAUUGAUUGGCGUACCUAAGUACCGUUACUUAAGAUUGUAAACUCUAUGCAAUUAUCUGGCGCCUUGCUACAGCUUUGCACAUCGUAAGUAAGGAUGGUUAGGAUGCCCAAUCUGGCAUUCCUAAUUAUUGUUACCAGACUGCACUGCUAAGGCCAGCGCCGUUAAAGGCCUUGGGUUAUCUCUCUGACGUAACGAUAGUUAUUGUAUACCAACACCCGACAUUUCUGGUGCCAUUGCUAAUGAUGGAUUUAUAGUCUAUCUUUAGUAGUGAUGCUAAGAAAUGCCAACAGACUACUUAGCAUUCUUAACCAUCAUGAACUUGAACAAUUAGACGGUUGCAAGUGCUAAAACAAAGUCUAUGUUGUUGUGAGACAUGAUAUAGCUAAGAUAAGAGAUCUAUACUAUUGUACUAAGCAUGCAUGAUUGCCAGAGAAUUUAUUUUUUUAAGAUGAAUAAAAACUUAAUUGUUCCUCAAUGGUGUUAAAUUCCUACCACAAGCCAUAUAUGCUCUACAUGAUAGAAACCCAACAUAUAGGCUACUUGCAUGUGUUGAGAGUUGUCAACUCUUGUUGACCCUUGGUUUAGAGUUGUGUCAUGCUCAAUGAGAUCAAGAUCCACACCAUCCACAUACAUCUGCUGGUCCUACACUGGGAGUAUGCAACAUUUCAUACCAUUUCAUUCCAUUCCACCAAAUAUAGAUGCUCCAUGCUUUAAGUGUAGAAUCUCUCUCUAAUAGCUGAAUGUUAGAUGAGACACAAAGCAAAGGCUAUAGAAAAAAUAAUCAUCUUGUUAGGAAGGACAUCAUCAAGUCCUUGAAAAAAAGAGAGAAAAAUGCUAGCCUUGUCUCAAUAAAAAAUAGAAAAAAUAGAGAGAGCACAAUCAAAUAAAGGAGCCAUCUACCCAUCAUACUCAUACCAACUUUCUGCAUUUAUAUCUUGAUCUUGAGCAUAACACUACUCUUCCUCCAAGGAUCCGAGGUUUGACUUCACAACAUAUGCAAUGGAAGUAUGCCAUCCCCUUGUUCCUACCUUGAGCUCCACAUAAGCCUUUAUUAUAGUAGGAUUACAUAGAGAAGGCAACUUACUCAUGUGCCUUGGUAAGGAUUUAUACACCACUUGAGUGACUUGAGAGAAACCAUAUGAGGAACAUUAAGAUUUCCUUUGAAAAACUUAGCAAAAACCUCUAGCAUGAAACUUGCUAAAGAAUGAGAAAAGUAGAUGUCCAGUCAAAGCUGUUCUAUCUGUCGACAUUGCAAGACUGAGUUAAUGCUAUAAGCCCCAUGGGUGCUAAAGUAACAUUGGUGUGUUAGCAUUGCUAAGUUUUCCAUUCAAGGAGAAGUUCUUUGUUGUGCACUUAGUACUACUAAGAUGUUAACUUAGUGAUAAUACCUCAUCCAAUUGAACCAAGUCUUGAUUGUUUGCAAGGGACGAGCAAAGGUUAAGCUUGGGGGAUCUUGUUGACGGGAAAUAAGACCCUAUUCUAUAUACUCAAAAGCCCGUCAACAGUCCUCGAUUGAAGGAAGAUAAGCAUCACAUGAAUAUAUUUAUCACUAAUAAAGUUCCACUUGUACUCUUAGUUUGUUCAAUGUUGGGAAGAAGGAAAUGAGCCCUGUGGGCCCUAGAACCUAGAUGGGUCGACUAGAGUUUAGGCCCACCAGGGGCUCCCCUCCAUGGCAUGAGCCAUGGCAUACUCCAAGGAGUCAAUCCCCAACCCUUGGAUCCAAGUGUGCUUGCCCUCAAUGGUUCAAACACUUAGCACAUGGAUCCUUGGGCCCACAUGGAAGCAAGCAAGUGUGCAACUAGACUCAAUUUUGGACAACACUUCACAUGACAAGUGGGGAUACCACCAGGAGGCCAGUGGUGGGCCAGGGGCCCCAAAGGUCGGUCGGCCGACCGACCAAUUGGGUGAUGCCACCUGGCCCAGCCUCCCAACGACCUAAGGACCUUCCAGAAGGUCAGUGGGACCCAGUGUCAGCCACAAGGCAGGUCGACCAACCUACAUGUGGGCCCCAUCUAAAGUCAGUUCACUCCCAUCGACCUUUUCUCAUGUGUGGCAAUGCUCCAACCGUCCAUCUAAGGCUGUUGGGAGGUCAGUGCAGCCAAGGGUGGAGAAGGAAGGAGCAUGCAGAUCGCUGACGUGGCACCCCCUCUCUCACCCCUAUAUAAGGAGGGUCCUCCAUCUCCCAUGAGACAUCUUCUUCAUAUUUCAUUUCCAAAUCACACCUGGGAGAUCAAGUGUAGUGUUGUCUAGUCUAGAGUGGGAGUUAGAGUCGAGUCGAGCGAAGCUUGGGUCUUCGGAGCUGUCUUCUAGAGAGUAUGGUAUAGCUCUUGUACCUUUUCUUGUAUCACAUUCUUUGUAUCAAUAUAGUCUUUCUUUACUUUACUAAGUAUUUACUUGAAGUCUUUACUUUGAGUAUUGCUUAGUGCGUUACUAUACUUGUAGUAGUGUUGUGUCUUAGUCUUAUUAGUGUUGCUGCCUUAGUUAGAUUAGUGUCUUCAACACCUUGUGUGUGUUCCACUACCAUUAGGCUCUUUGGCUAUUUAUAUGAUAGUUGAAGUUAUAAGACUAGUGUAAGCGAGGUGCUUAGGCUAGCGCUUAUUAGUGGAUGCCACCAUGUCAAACAUGUUAGCGGGCGGCGGCGAGGCGUGAUUGGCCUCUGCUUCCCAGUAGGUUCUAUUCACGUCGGGUACGGACUGUAGGCGCCCAUAAGACAAAAGUCCGCUUGGAUAGGAGUUUCGUCCUCCUAUUGCAGUCGACUUCCACCACACAAGACUGUUUGGAUACUAAUCUAGUUGAGUCAUCUACACUAAUUAUGAUUAGAACACAGAAGUAGAGUUAGAUACAUAGGAGUCCUUACUCACUCGUUGUCCUCCCACCUAGCUAGCUCACUACAAGUUAUCUUUACUUACCUUUAUCUGACUUAUCUAUUAUUCUAUCUUGCUACACUUACCCGCCUGUUAGCACUAGUGAACUUAGAUUGAGUAGACACAAACCAUGGAUAUCCAUCCAUAUAUUUAUUAGAGAGUCUUAGUCCACUUCCCAUGAGCGAACUAUAAAUUACGACACCGCGGAUACUCACCACGGUUGAAGUGCUACAGCGGUACCUGUGCGCUUGCAUAGUUACCCUUGGUACGUCUUGCGUCACCACUAGAGUUUAGCGUUGCUUAGCAUUUCUGGAGCCGUUGCUCAGGGUAGCCUGACACCCUAUCCUAGUAACAUCUCAGACUUGCAAUUAAGUAGUGCUGGUUAGGCACCACCAUUUCUAGAUACUUGUCACAUCUUACUCUAGCAAGUGUGCGUUUAGAUUUGCCAACACUCGGCUAGCCACCAGAGGGGAUCGGCCGAUCCCCCUAUGACAGGUGGGGCUAGCCUAGGUCGGUUGUCUGGUGUCCCCACUUGUCAUAGAGUCUGGUUCUCCAUCUUGUUGUACUUUGUCAUGCCGGUUCUUCUGACAUGUGGACCCAUGAAUCCGUGUGCUCUUGAUUUCAACCAUUGAGAGAAAGCACACUCUGAUCUGAAGGCUGAGAAUUGCUUCUAGCAGGUUGCCUUGGAUCAUGCCUACGUGGCACCUUGAGAAGGUGGCAUAGGGGGAUCAGCCGAUCCCCCAUGUGGGCCCAUCGUGGUUGCUUUUUGUGCCAUUUCAUGCUACUUGCGAAUCACAAGCUAAGAGUACAAGUGGAACUAGUUAUUGAUAAAAUGUGUUCAUGAAUGUUUAAUCUUCCUUGAAAUCGAGGCCUGUUGACGGUGUUUUGGAUGUGCAUUUUGAUGCUACAAUUACCAUCAAUAGGAAUCUUAUCACCUUAGUCCCUAGUCUUGGGAUGAUGAUGGUUCUAGGGUCUUCUAGAGUUUUCCGAGUCGUAUCCAUCGCGGACUUUCUCUCCUAUGCUCCAAAUAUGGAAAAUGAUAUAUAUGUCUUGAUCGUCUCAAUGAGCUCUCUACAAUGGUGUACUUAGAUCCUUCAGUUAAGACACUUUUAUUUGGUGAUUCUAGUCCUUUUCUAGUUUAACCCCUAUAAAACAUAGAUUCACCAAAACUCGUGGAACCUGUUUGAUUCAAACCCUACAACUAUGCUUUUUGGCUCAUAUCAUAUCUUAUCAAGUAAUAGUUUAUGGUUAAAAAUGAGCAAUAGUGACCGUCAACAAGUUCCCCAAGCUUACCCUUUGCUAGUCCCUUAGCAAAGCCAAUCUCAAUAAUGGAUCAGGAGUUGCUACAAUGCUUUCAUGCCUCAAAAGUACACAUGUGUUCAAACAAGAAUUCACCUUGGAUUGUAUUUAACUAUUCUGACUUUCAAACUUACUCGUAUUACCUUCAACCAUGGAGCUUUUGGCCUUCACUUGGGUCUUGAGUAGUUGAAAGAUAGAACAAUGUCAAGCAGUGUGUCUCAUGUUCUUUUAUCAACCUUUAUUAUGGAGAUUUUGUAAGUUUUCAAAAUAAAACUCAGAGAUUCCUUUAUAUGACCCUUGCUAGUCUCUCAUAUGUGAUAUUUGUGGAUCCUUACCAAGGUGAUGAUGGUAUUUUGCCUUCUCUUUUUUACUCAGAAUAUGUGGUAAUGGAAUAAGGUAGAGUAGCAUCAUGCCUCCUCUCUAUCACCCUAUAUCUAAUAGGAUUGUAUGGAGCUGAGGGUAUUUCAAGGAUGUAGCAUACUCACCUUGCAUGUGUUGCUUAGUCUAAACCAGGAUCCUUAGAGGGAGAGCAUACCCUUAGAUCAAGAUGUGCAUAUGUGUGGAAAUAUUUGGUGGCUAACCUAAUUCUACUUUGCUCUGCCUCUACUGAAGAAUUUAUGAAGAACUUUGUUGUGGAGGAUUUGGGAUAUCUUCUUUCUCCUUUCUUUGGUGAAAAUGAUGAACUUCUAGGCAUAAAGAUCAUAUACUUAUCUUUUUUUCUCUUCUUUUCCCUUUUUAUAAAGGAUCUCCUGCCUCAUACUUUGGAUACAAUGAACUUGGAGAAGAUGUAAAUCACAAUAUUGGGGUAUUUAUUUGGAAACCUAACAAUCUUUUUGGAUCUUCUCCCAGUGUAGGAGAUAGAUUUUUUAGGGUAGAAAGGCAUGUUUUUGCGUACUCCCAGGGUAGGAGCAGUAGGAUAUAUGUGUGUGUAAGUGAUCUUGAUCUUGGGAGCAUGACCAUCCUCUAAACAAUGGUCUCAUAGGAUGACCAAACUCAAAACAAAGCAAGCAGCUUAUGAGCUGGUUUUCCUAGUCUAGUAAGCAUAUAUAUGGCUGUGGUAGGAAUUAAAGCUCUUGUCAUACAUGAACUCAUCAUGUAGCAACUCAGUGUCAAUAAGAACAAGAUAAACAACAACUCAGACAUUUUAUAUCAUAUUCGUCAAUCACCUACACUUAGAUCAAACAUUCGCUACCCACAAGUUUCAAGUUUAGAGCAAAUCUUAGGUCAAAACAAUCAUUUCCAAAACUUGGGAGAGUUCAAGGUUGAAAACUAGACACUUGAAAAGAAUUACGGCAGAGUGAAAGGUCCUAAUAUGGCUAGAGGGGGGUGAAUAGCCUAUUAAAAAUCUACAAACUCACUAGAGGAAGAGGUUAGUAAAUACAAAGUGAAGCUUUUUGCUCUAGCUCUAAUGGGGUGUUUGUAAGCAACCUAUUCAACAAUUCUAGUUGGUAAGAUCACUAGGCACACAAGAGCUAUGUCACUACAAGCUACACUAGUGAGCUAUACUACACAAGGCAAAGUGACCAACAAAACUAAUUAUACUACUUUGCGGUAAAUAGAGAAUAAGACGAGAUAUUUAUACCUGUAAUACCCGAUUUUAAGGACCAUAAGUGAGUUUUAGAAGCCAAAUCUCACAUAUAGCUACAAAUGAGGGGUAAUAUCAAAAGACAAUGCAUAAAUUAUAUAACGUACAUAAUAUAAAAGAGAUAACCUUUGAUAACAAUCAACGGAUAGACAACUCGAACUUCGGGUAUUUACUUCUCUCUACAGGAUCCAACUGACUGGUUGAUCACGAACCUAACACAAUUUGAAUGGGUCAAAUCGGAGUUAAAAUGAAUAUUUUAUGGCCAAAAGAAAGUCAGUGGCAAUUCUGUAAAUAGUGAAAACAUAUUUUUAAUCUAAAACCGAGUUGUUUGUAUUUUCCAAACUGAAAGAUAAAGUGAUUGGGGCUUACGUUGGUGGAUAGGGAGUAGGUUCACCGGCAGUGACGCUUUCUUGGAGCUACAGCAACGCCGGAGCAGCCGACCGUUCGUAGAUGUCCUGUAUAGGCGAGACGAUGACGAUCACGUUGUAGAGAAAAAAAUAUAAAUUUUAUUUUACUACCUUAGGAAUUCUCAAAUUAGAGGCUUCCUAUAUGAUAGUCUUUGAUGUGCUUUGCCUAAGGGGUUGGCACAUAUAUAUAGGGAGAAAAACUUUCCACCUCCACGUCAACUAGCGAUAUGGUACUAAUUGAUUCACAACCUUCAUCUUUACUAAUAGGUCUAAUUAAUUAUUAAAGCCCAUUAGUAAAUAACUACAUGAUUUUUGGGAUUUAUUAUGGGCUUCGACGUUGGAAAAAAAUAAUAAGAGAUUUAUUAUUUUUCGGAAUUAAUUAUUUUCAUUGAUAAAAUAAUUGUAGACAAGUUUAGAAUUAGUAGUUAAGCCACGAAAAAUACUCCGAAAGCUCCGAAAAUUCGGAAAAAAUUCUCAGAGAUAUUAUAGGACAUGGGGAACCCCAAUAAAGUUUUUGGAGCUCAUGAUAAGAUUAUUUAGAGCAUCUAAAAAUUAGAUCAUGCUCAGAGAAUAGUGAGAACAGAAGAUGGAAAAAAUCCCGAAAAGUUUGUAGAGAGUGCUUGAUGGACGAGGAACUAAAAGAAGUGCUAUGAGUGACAAAGAAAAUAUUUUAGGGAGGUCCUAAUAAAAAUUUAAGCUUAAAAACAAGGAAUUUGGUUGUAGAUAAAACAUAAAUACGUGCCGAAUAAGGAAGAUCGAUCUACUAAACGUAUUUUAAAUAUUUUUCUUACUAUCAACACAUAAAGGAGCAACAAGCAUCACAUCAAAACAUAUGCACCAGCAUGUAUGCAUAAUAAUAUUGCUAAGCCUUAUGAUAAAUUUUAAUUUAAUGAAAAAUAUUAUUUUCCUAUAUUUUCAUGAGCACAAAAACACAAAAAUAAAUAAUUUUAUCUAUAUUUCAAAAGGAGUAAAUUUUAGGAUGUUACAAUACCGCCGUGUACGGGAUAAACCAAUCACCAAUAUAGACAAUCAAACACCAGGAGAAUGCCAAUCAAUCAUAAUUAAGACACUGAUUUUUCUCCCAAGGUUGACAUGCUUGCCGACACGCUACGUCCCCGUUGUGUCGACCAACACUUGGUGGUUCGGCGGCUAAGAGGUGUAGCACGAACCUCGUCCUCACUAGGACACCGCAAGAACCUACACACAAGUGAGGUAGCUCAAUGACACAAGCAAUCCACUAAUGUUGCCUUUGGCUCUCCGCUGAGGUAGGCACAAACCCCUCACAAUCACCGGGAGAUGGUAACGGACAAUCACCAACUCGUGCCAAAGCUCCUCCGCUGCUCCAAGCCGUCUAGGUGGCGGCAACCACCAACAGUAACAAGAAAACCGUAGCCAAAUCCUGAUAAUCCCACGUCUUCGCAUUGUCGCUCGAUCUCAUCCUUGUGGAGCCACGGAUACCGGUAUGGACGUAUCGCCGCUGGUGCAGAGCCUGGCAGAAGAUGAAUCCGAUGAUCGAUCUUGGUAGCAUGCCGGUGGCAGGCCGCGUGGCUCCUCGAAGAUGUUCUGAUAGGACUGCAACAGCUCUAGGAUAGGCAGGGGUCAGCGACGGCACGAGCUGCCACCCUGUUGCUGCCCAGACCAGUCUANNNNNNNNNNNNNNNNNNNNNNNNNNNNNNNNNNNNNNNNNNNNNNNNNNNNNNNNNNNNNNNNNNNNNNNNNNNNNNNNNNNNNNNNNNNNNNNNNNNNGGAGUAGUUUGCUUAGGCUCACAAGGAUGUCAAGUAUGCUAGAAUGCCAAGAAAGUGAACCCCAAGCCGGCCAACAACUAUUUAUAAGCCCUUCAAACAAAUAGAGCCGUUGGCUCUUUCAUUUGGUAGAAAACGAGGUCACAGAACGCGUCGCAGGGAACCAUCGGUCGCUCAAGCCCCGCAUCUGGUGCCCUGAAAACUGCUAUGUGUCCCCCUUUCCACUUUCGCGCGUCGAUCUCUAACGGUCACCUCUAGAGCACCGGAAAUGGUCAAGUUGGCACCGGACGCGUCUGGUGCACACCAGCCACAUGCGUAGAGAGGUCUGCAAAUGCAUGAGGUCACUCGAUGCUGAGCACACCGGUCUCAUAGGCAGGGAGGUUCGCAAUCAGUUCGCACACCGGACGUGGAGCACCAGACACUCCGCUGCGUCCGGUGCCCUGUCAGAAAACUACAUAGUCUAGCGCACUAACGCUAACUAGCACCAGACUCGCACACAGUAGACACAGGUGCGGGGCGUCUAGUGUGCUUUGCACUCUCUGGUCAGACAUCGACAUAGCACCGGACGCAUCCAGUGCCUUUGUGCACUACGUCCGGUGAGUGUUUCUUAGCGAGAAACACUCCCAUGACUUCUCCAAACUUCCCAUCGGCGCAAUAGAAAAUAUGCAUUUCAUUUUUUCAAAAGCAAACCCAAACCCUUUCUACCCUUUAGACUCCACCUCCUUCUCAAAGUGUGCCAACACCACCAAGUGUGUACCAACAAGAGCACGUGUGUUAGCAUUCUCACAAUCAUUUUCUUCGAAGGGGUUAAGUUAUCUCACUAGGUUCUAAAUGCAUGCACAUUAACAAUGACACCUAGUGGCACUUGAUAACUGCUUAGCCAAAGAAUUCUCCUCUUUAUAGUAUGGCUAUCUAUCCUAAAUGUGAUCACACCCUCUAUGGUGUCUUGAUCACCAAAACUAAAACCCUAAGCAAUACCUUUGCCUUGAUCUCCAUAGGGUUUUGUUUUUCUCUUUCUUCUUUUCCAAGUUGAGCACUUGAUCAUCUUGUGUUCAUCACCAUGAUCAUCACUUGCUCUACCACUUGGCAUGUACUAACAUCAUUAAGUCUACACACACUUAGUGUAGAGGUUAGUACUAGGGUUUCAUCAAUUAUCCAAAACCAAACUAGGGCUUUCAAUCUCCCCCUAUUUGGAAUUGAUGACAACCCUUUUACAAAGAUUUUCAAUAAAUUUUCUUUGGAUUCAUGUUGCUUGCCCAAUCAUUUUACCAUAUGCAAGGUUAUGGACAAGUUUCUUAAACCCAAAAUGGUAUCAAUUUGUCCCCCUACAUAUGUGCUAAGAGUUUGGAUUUGAAAGCUUGCACAUAUGCCUGAAUAGGAAAUAUAGGAGUCAAUUUCUACCAGAUGAUGCUAAGGUGUAAAGAAUGGACCUUUGAAGCGUGAUACCAAUCAGAGUUGCCAAUGUAUACCAUCCUUAGCACCAUUAGUAACUAGACAUUCAUAAAACUAGAACACCCCGUGAGAUCAACAAUAUAAACAAGGUUCUAGUACCACUUGUGAAACAACUAAAAGUCUAGUUACACUACCUAUGCAUGCUAGUUCUUCAUUUCAUCAAGCAAACCUAUAACUAGCAUACACCACACAAGCAAGGUAUCAGAGAGAAAGCUUAAGCUAAUGCAAAUGCAAGCAAACAUAUGUGAUGCACAUUCAAAUGCAACAUACAUGUUUAUAAGCUUGCUCCCCUAGUUGUGUGCUUCAAAAUUUUAAUUGAUCCCCUUCUUUUAUCAUGUUACUCCCCUAUCUUUGUACUUCUCCCCUUUUAGCAAAUCUUUGGGAAAUUCUCUCCCCCUUUGUCAUCAAUGACCAUAAAAGGUGAGCUCAAAUUUUAGAUAGGUUAGUGUGAGACCAUGUGAAGUGAAAUAAUUUUUCCAAAUUGGUCCAAUCUCGAUUACUUGCCUAAGAUAUUUACUCGGUUUGAUCCAAGGACAAGCUUCUUCACACCUCCAAAUAAGGGUUAUCUUGUACCAUGUUGAGUUAAACACUUAUAGCUCAUAUUCUAGAUCAAACACUAGGAUUGCAAGCCAUGUAAAAACAUGUCAUAUGCUACCACUAGAUCAUUUCAACCAUAGAAGCAAUAGUGGUACUGUUGAUGCAAAAGCUGAUCUGCAAACACAAAGGGCCAAUACCCGAUUCAAACCUUAAGGCGUGCCAGCUGAUUUUACCUUACAACUGACAAAGGUGGUAACUCGAACACUUUGGUCCCGACAACAGCGAUGCGCCCGGAUGUCACGGCCAAGAGGUGCUCACGCGAAACUCGAGAAUUCGUCGAGAUUGACUCGAAGAAUCCUUAAGAACUCAUAGUAAAAAGCAAAUAUGACAAAGUCGUCCAAAAGUAGAUGCUAGAAUAUGUGUAAAAACUUAUGUUUGAUUGAUUGAUCGAUUUUUUUUGUUACAUUGCCACAGGGUCUACAUUUAUACCCUGUUCCAAAAGAGUUACAACCAGACACGAUUAGGACUCAAAAUCCAAUUUGAACAGAAUCUGUAUACAAAACAAACUCUAAAAAUUACGGAAAACAUUAAAUCAUCCUCCACAGCCGAUCGGUACACCGCCAUGAGUCUAUCGACAACCCCUGCGCCUUUCUCCAUGAUCAUCGGCAAGCCACCUCUCAUAGCCAUCGGCAACCAUUAGCACCAGUCAUCGGCACGAAUCCAUCACUACUCCUGGACUUAGCCAUAUCCUGUCGUUUUUCAUCGGCACCAACCCUCAUCGGCAACUCUUCUGUAGACUAGCCACCACUUCCCUGCCUGCCGAUCUACACCUCAUUAACUUUAGAUACCCAUCCAAAGAUACGUGUCCAAAAACGGUGUCAACACAUGCCCCCCAAUUUCGAAGUAUAAAAUCAUUAAUGCUUCGAAAUUCUCCUCAGUGAUGAUGCCUAAAAUCUCGCAACUUCUCGAACCGAAUCCCCCAGAAUACGUUCAUCGGCAACAUUUCUGUUAGAGAAGACUGCCGAUGAACCAACUAGGUGAUCUUGCACAGUAAGAUAUCUCCAAAAUCAUGACCGCUUGCAGUCAAAUCACAUGCGCAAUCCCUUGAUUACCGUGCGAACAGUUACCAUAUCCACCUGAACACCCUCGGAUUUCUCGGAUGCAACGAAGUGAUAAGUCAGAUUUGCCCCUGCCCUCUUUGUCCUAUAAAUACUUCCUUCUCCGGUACUCUUCUACCAUCGUGUCAUUCUAUAGCCUCAUACCCACCUUUCUGGCGGCGGCACUGCUCAAGAACUUCAAGAACUCCGGUCAAGGAUCUCCUCCGGCAAUCUUCCGGGUCUUAGACUUCUUCCUCUCUCUGAGAAGAAAUGGCCAUCAACUUCGUCGUCCCUGUUGACGAUCCUUAAGUAUCAAAUUUAAUUAUCAAAUAAACAAAGAAAAGGAUCCAAAUGAAAUCAACAUCCAGACUUAGGGUUUUAUCUGACAGAAUUCCACGAGUUUUAGUGUUUGUCUAUUUCUGCAGGGGGUUAUCAGGAAAUACGGAAGAAAGGCCCACACGUCGGGAUUACAUAGAGAUAUCAAUGUGCCGUGCAAUUAUCUUACAUCUAGAAGACUCCAGAAGCCACGGGAAGGAAGCAGAGGCCGAACGGGGCCAGGCACUGGGCGCCCGCCCAGUUGACCUGGGCGCCCGCCCCCUCCUGGAGUCCAAUCACGACUCUCUUUCGGGAAAGAUCUCCACCGACCUAAAGGAUCAAGGAUAACCGUUCAAUCAAUGUCAGUUUGAUCCAACGGCCCAUAUUCACUUGAAGGGACUAUAAAACCAGACCCCCUGACCCCUGGAGGAGAGAGCCUCUCAACCCUAGUUCAUUAUUCUCAAGGGAGAAGAAGCCUCUGAUCAAGAUUAGAGCCACCACAUCAAUUAGAUAUCUAGAUUAGCAUAGCUACAUAGGAUUAGAACUAUAAGGAGACAAUCUUCGAUUGGUUUUCGGAUCUGCCAAGAGGAUUCUUGGUAAUUCUCUAAUUAUUCUUCUAAUUGUUCUUCUAAUCAUCUUUGUUCUUCAAUAUUAUGAAUAUGACUUUGUUCUACUUCAAUAUAUUGCUUAUGACUUUGCUCUACUUGUUUAUAUUCAAGAUUAUAUUGUUCUUAGUUUAUCAUAGUUAUAUACUUGGCAUAGUUAGACUGGAUCUAUAUACAUGUUUAGGAUCGUAUAGCGUUUAUCCGUCGGAUCCAUGGGUAAAUGAUAGAUAUUGUGUAGGCGUGGUGCUUAUACCGUAUUUAUCUGCGAUUGUACCCAAUAUGCCAGAUCGUGGGGUAGUUCAUGAUAGUGACAGCUUCAUUGAUUCUUAUAUAGUCACCCCCUCGUGUAUUGGGCUGGCAGAGCAACAUCAUUACAGGGGAGUGAUUGCUAUGUUUCUCAUAUUCCAUGCUAAUAUCACUAUGCAUGGGCGUAGUCUUGUCUGACAAUGAUUGCUAAGUAUGCUUGCACUAACUAUGAUAAUGCUAGACUAUAUAGGUUAGAAUAACUUAGGAAAUAUUAUUGUAGUUUGUUCUAAUACCAUGCUAAUGACUUUCUAGAGUAUCUAAUUGAGGUGCUUAUCAUAUUUAUUAUGUGGCUAAGUUAUGCUGAUCAGAUUAAUUAUCUUUGUCACUAUUCAUUACUUCAUAUAUCCUUUAUGUGACACUUAUCCCUGUAUGAAAGAGUUAGAUAAAUAUUCUCAAUUAUACAUGCAAUGAUAGAUACUCAAUCUCAUAUUCUAUUCUAUAAUCAAUAUUGAUGGUUGCUAAUCCCUUCGCAGUGGUAAAAAUAUAAAUAACGACACCUGGAAUACUUCCCGGUUAAAAUGCUACAUCGGUAUUAAUAUGUGCGCUUGCAGAUCCCAUUCAUUAUUUAUUUAGAAGAGCAAUUGCAUAUUUCAAUACCGCGCUCUCAUGUCAUGCUGGGGAUGACAACUUGGCUUAAGUGGUAUGAGGGAUAGGUUAGGCAUUUUUGGCACUGUUAUCAGAAUUAGAAAACUAAGUCUACUUUUGGUAAUGAUGUUAAGAAUACCCAACAAGCAUUUUUGGCACUGUUGCCGGGGAAGGUUGAUUACUAAUCAGGAAUGAAUAAAGGAUUUUGAGUUAUCAUUCGCAUCACUAAUAUUAUUGAGCUUAUCAAUUCUCUCAUACAGUUUUACCCCGAUAUUUUUCUAUUUUAUCUUAUGCAGGGUAAUGAAUGAAUAGAAGAAAUCUUCCAGGAAAUUUUGUUGACAAUCCCAAAGCGUUAUUCAGAAAAACUAGAGCCAAGCUCAAGAAGAGAUCAUCAACACUAUAGCAAGAAGCUUCAUCCAAGCAAGAAGAUCACCGGAACUUGUCUUCAGAGUUCGAAGCCAUGGUGAACAAAUCAAUCCGCGAGUUCUCAGCUCCCACUACGGACAACAUCCGCGCUGGACCUGCUGCAGAGAUCGAUGGCAACUUUGAGCUCAAGCCUGGACUUUAUCAACAUGGUGCAAUCCAACCAGUUCUGUGGGAAGGCACACGAAGAUGCUAGUGCUCAUCUCCAACACUUCCUGGAGAUUUGCAGCACAUUUACCAUACCAGGAGUUUCCAGAGAUGCUAUACUACUUCGCCUCUUCCCAUUCUCACUAUUAGGAAGAGCGAAGCACUGGUUUUACGCUACAAAGGAGAAGAAUACUACGUGGGCACUCUGCUCAACAAACUUCCUGGCUAAGUUCUUUCCCAUGGGCGAGACCAAUGCUCUCCGUGGGAAGAUUACAAGUUUUCAGCAACAAAAUGAUGAAUACGUUCCAGAAGCAUGGGAGCGCUUCCAAGACUAUAUCCUAGAAUGUCCCCAUCAUGGAAUGGAGAGCUGGCUACUAAUGCAGAUGUUUUAUCAUGGGCUCGGCAAUAGUGCCUGAGAAACCAUGGAUGCUGCAGCUGGAGGAGCAUUCCUAUCACUUACCAUAUCACAAGCCACAGCUCUUGUGGAGAAGAUGGCGUCCAACCAAGGCUGGAAUGAAGAAAGGACCCAGACACGCAAGAGAGGUGGAGGUAUGCAUCAGCUCAAGGAGGUAGACAUGUUGUCUGCAAAGCUAGACCUGCUCAUGAAGAAGCUCGAUGAUAGAGCUAGAGAUAAUUAAGAAGUUAUGCACAUCUACGACUCUCACAUGACUUGUGAGGAGUGUGGAGAUACUGGACACUCAGGCAAUCACUGCCCUGAGAUCAAGGUUGGAAUCAACAGAGGCCUAACUACUCAGGUAAUUAUCAAGGUAACAAUUCUUACAACAAUAACAAUAAUUUUCCACCUCUGAGAGAGUUAGUGUCUAAUCAAGAAAGUUAAUGGAUAACCUAUCUAAAAAAUUGGCAGCUAAUGAUAAAAUGCUAGAAAAUAUAAAUAAUAGAAUGGAUAAUUUCUCUACUGCCAUCAAGAAUCAAAUUAGCUUUAAUAAAAUGAUUGAAUCUCAGUUAAAUCAAAUAGUUGCUGCUGUUCCUACUACUAACCCCGGUAUACCAUCACAACCGGAAGGAUUAGAAUCUGCAAAUCUUGUAGACAUGUUUGAUGUAGGUAAUUGGAGUAACCCCGUCACUGAAUUCACUACUGACCUUAUGCCGGUCAAGAGAGGCGAUCCAGGACGCCCCAUCAUCACGAUCUCCAUCGGCAUGGUGGACGUCCCUGAAGCACUCUACGACUUUGGCUCCAGCGUUAACAGUAUACCCAGGGUACCCUAUGAAAAAUUCUUUACAUAUCCUUUAUUAGAAACAACCAUGUGUUUGCAGUUUGCAAAUCAGGCAUUAAGUUUUCCAAAAGGAAUAUUGAAGAACCUUUGUGUCCGAGUUGGUACCUUAUAUGCCCUAGCAGACUUGGUGGUGAUAGAUACCGGUAAUGAUGAGAGAGCACCCAUCAUCUUAGGGAGGCCAUUCUUGAACACCUCGGGAGCUGUCAUCUACGCUAGUGCUGCCAAGAUCAGUUUCUACACCAAAAGGAGGAAGGAGACGUUUUCCUUCAAGAACAAGACUACACAAAUCCCAGAUCAAUCCAGACGUGAAUCAAGGAAGAGGACCAACAGGAGGAACAUGAACAAGCAAGUGUGGACCGAGUCAGCUAAGAUGGUCACUGCAGUUCAUGGAGGUCAACAUCAUCAACUUAAGUCACCAUUUUUGACCAAGAAGGACGACCUAGGAAUGCCAAGAAUCUAUUGCUCCAUAAAUGGGUACAACUUCUACAAGACGACUUGUGACACCAGAUCGGGCGUCAACAUAAUGGCCGCAGUCACCUAUCGGCUCUUGUUCGGAACCAUGCCCCUAAAACCAACAUACAUUCAGCUCCAGAUGGCAGAUCAGACAUUUCGAGAGGUUAAAGGAAUAGUAACUGAUGUCCUAGUCAAAAUAGACGAUCACUUUGUCUACACAGACUUUCAGGUUAUUGACAUGGGAGAAGACGAAUACGAUCCACCCAUCAUCCUUGGAAGACCGUUCCGACCGUUCCUCAGUACCGUUAAAGCAAUCAUCUACAUUGGAACCGGAGAAAUCCAUAUGCACUUCUCCUCAGAAAAGGUACGCCGCUAUUUUACUGACCCUAACUAUAUCGUUGAAGGCUCUAAGCAAGUCAGAAAACGACGCAACCGCAACCAGAGGAGGGAAAUCAUCAAGGACGGAUGGGUAGACUAUGAAGGAGAAGUGGUAAGGUCAGAAGACAUACAGUUUAAACAAAAUUAUCCAGAGGAGACCGUAGCACCGAGUCACGUAUGGAAAGAGAAGAUGAAGAGGAGGCGCCGCCGGAAGUACCGACUCCGCCACCCAACGAAUCCGAGGACAACUAGAAAACGGAGAGUCCCGUUCGGAGGACUUAAAAACACCAAACGCCUUGCCAAGAGGUAAACUUGGUAGUUAUCUUUUUUCCCUUUUAAUUAUUUUAAACUGUUUGCUUAGUUAAUCAUGUUCAUGCUAUCCUAAAAAGAAAAUAAAAAUGUUAAAAAACAGUAAGCCCCAUGUGAGUAUACGAGUGGCAUGAAACCCAUAAGUACAUUCACCGUGGUGGCAUAAAAAUAAAAUAAAUAUUUUUUUUCUGCUUUAGAAAAUGAAAAUAUAAAAAUACAGAGUAAUAUUUAUUGAGGAGGCUCAACAUGAUAAAGGCUAAGAUAUUUAUGCGAACACUUAAUCAGUUCCACAAAGCUUUGUUGUCUAUUUGAGAUCCACGGAAUUUAAGAAUCAAGAAGACUAGCAGACGGAGGACAUUCUAAUCGCUGUCAAGAUACUGCCGACUUUCGAAUACACCUCUGCCACCUGCUAGCUACAAUAGGAGAAAUUACGUCAAAAUUCAGCUUGGCGG
rnacentral:lncRNA from 1 species